CUGCGAUAAAUUAAAACUAAAAACCAGUUACUUGAUCACCAAGAAAGAAAGACAAAACAAACAAAUUAAAAUCGCAAACUAAAAUCGAACAAAGGACAACAAAAUCUAUUACUUAAUUUUUAAAACAUGCAAAGCAAGGACAAAUGCCAAAGGAUUAAUUAGUUAGAUUUAUAAUUACUUUACCAGGUCCAGCGAGGCCAAUAACAGCUGAAGGGGAAGGUCUGGCGUGAACGAUGACGAGUUUGAAAGGAGGAUUUACAGUCGAAUUUGCGAAGAAAUGAUCGAGCGUCCAUUGAAGCGCGUACGUGCUCUGCUCGCUAUCGUCGAUCCCUACCACCAUCGUUUGUGUCUCCGCCGUCGCCAUUGAGACGAUGUCUACUCAACUUUUUUUUUUUUCCUUUUUAGCUGUGUGUUAUUCAGAAAGUUGCAGAGUUUGUUCGAUUUCUAAUCUAUAUAUAAGCGAAUAAAUCUAAGAGACAGCGAAAUGAUCAUACUUUUUAUCUAGAUAAGAUGAGAACGUAGCAAGUAAAGGAGGUUGCGGGCGAUUGGCGGAAAGUGCUUUAAUGAGUCUGGCGUUUAAUUUUGAAAAGUUAGAAAAAAUUAAUUUUAGUAUUUAUUUUUUAGGGUUAUAAAUUAAUUUUAAAAUAUUAAAAUUUAAUUUUAAUAUUUGGUAAAUUAUUUUUAGAAAAAUCACUUUAUUUUAUAGUGGAUUUUCAGAAGUAUGGAAUGAGUAAUUUUUUAAAAUUUAAUUUUGAGAAUUAAUUUUACAUCUAAUGCUUUCACUCACACACAGAUAAAAAGUAAAAAUGUAAAAUUAAUCUUAUUAAUUAGAAAAUAAAAUCAUUAAAUUUAAAUAUAUUAUUAUUAUUAUUAUUAUUACUAUUUAUAUUGUGAUAACAAAAUAAAAAAUAAACUACUAGUAUAAAAUAUUUAUUUUAAUUAUUAAUUAUUUUCUAUGCACAUAAAAAUUAUUUUAUAAAUAUGUUUAUAAAUAUCUAAAUAAAUUUUACUUAACGUUUAUUUAAUUCAGUUAUUUAUAUUCUUAUAAUAAAUAAAAUUUACCAAAUGCAUACAAUUACUUUUCAAACUCACAGCAAUUUUAGAAAUAAAUUUUAUGAAAUAUUUAAUUAACUUUAUUCGUAGCUGAUUAUUUUUAUAUCGUAGUUAACAAUAAUUAUUUUAAAACCUUAGUAUUAUCAAAUUGGCCUUAAAACUCAAACCUUUUUUCUGGAUGUUUUUGUAGUUUUGUUAUCAACUUAUCAGAUAGGGAAUGUUUUAUUGUAAUUUUACAACCCAUCCCAUAUUAACAUGGGCCAGGUCCAGUUCGAGGUAUCAAACCCAGCAACCUACAACCAAUAAUUUUUAAGAAAAAUUAUCCACCGUCCACCUGUUUUUUCACCAUUUUUUAAAAAUACACAAAUCUUUUUUUUUUUUUUUUUUUUGCAGUGCUCCACCUAAAGUUAACAUUUUUUUCAUUGAUUCACUCUCGUUAUUAUUAACAUUUAUGUAUCCACAAUAUUGAUUUUGAUGAUAACAAACAAAAUUAAGAGUGAUUAACCUUUUAAAAGAGGAAUCAAUUUGUGGAAUCAUUCUUUAAAUACAUGUAAAGUUUGUCAUCAUCAAAAAAGGGGAGAUUGUUAAUAUUUAUGUUAUUAUGUAUCCAUAAUAUUGAUUUUGAUGAUAACAAACAAAAUUAAGAAUGAUUAACCUUUUAAAAGCACAAGUUAUUUUUUAUGCUUUUUAAAUAAAUCAUUAUCUUCAUAUUAUAAAGGUUUUAUAUUUAAUGAAAAAUGAUUUUAUGAAAUUGGUUGUUUUUCAAGUUUAUGGUCUAAUUGAAAGUAUUACUUGAAAUUACGAAAAUAGACUUGUUUGAAAAGUUUCAUAAAGUUUUGGGCCAUAGUUUUAUUAUUGAAAGUUUUGGGGUAAAAUUAUAAUUUUAGAAAAUAGUUAAUUGUAGCAGUCACUGUAGCAAAUGGCUAACCGACAUCUUGAUGAUGGCUAGCCAAUAUCAAGUAGAAUUGAAGAGUUGCCUCUGGACACUAACGGCCGACAACUUGAAAAUUAUGUCCAACGGUAACUUGGACUAGUCAAAACAGCGAUCCAACUUCGAGUUAACGGCGAUCCAACUUCGAACAAAAAGUCAAUAACGGCUAGUUUUCAGCUCCAACUAUAAAUAAAAUCAAUCAAAUUCAAAUAAGGAUGGAUCACAACAUUAUCAUUGAGCUUGUAAUCGAGAAUACAACAUUCAUUAAGCUUUAAAUUCGUUCUUGAUUUAUUUGUUCACACAUUGAGUAUAGAUUUGUAAUCAUAUAUUUUGUGUGAGAGAAAAACACAUUUGUAAUCUUUGUUUUGAGUGAUUUUAAGUGUUGGGAUACACUUGGGUUAAGAGAUUGGGGAUAAUCUCUUGGUGUAAAGGUUGAUUGACAUAUGUGAAGUCAAUUAUAAGUAUUCUUGAAGCCUUGGGAGGCUUGGAUAGUGAAAUCCUUAAGCCAGGUGACCUUGGAGGCAUGGAUGUGGGCAGGGAUUGCCGAACCACGUAAAAAUCAUUGUGUUUGCUCUUUGUUCCCUUACUCUUUUAUUAUUAUGCUUUAUUAAAUUUAUUGUUUUUGAUUUCAUUAGUGGUGUGUUUGGCACACUGUAUUGUAUUAUGUUGUAUUGUAUUAUUUUAAUACUGGUGUAUUGUAUUUGCUGUAUUGCAUUAGCACUGUAUUAUAAUAAUGUUGUACAAUGGUUGGUGCUACACUGUACUGUAUUGAUUUUUUAAUUAAUUUAAUUUAAAUAUUAUAUUAUAUUAAUGUUUUAUAUUAUAUUAAUAUAUUUAAAUUGUAUUAAUAUUUUAUGUUAUUAUUUAUAUUAUUAUUAAUUUUAAAUUAAUAUUAUUCAAAUUUAAAUAUUUUUAUUAGUUAUAAUAAGUUAUAAAUUUAUUAAUAAAUAAUAAUGUAAAAAUAAAAAAUAAUAUACUAUUAUUGAAUGAUAAAUUAUUUAUUUAUUAAUUUCUAUUAAUAAUUUUAAUGUAAAAACAAAAUUAAUAAAAAUAUUAUAUUAAAUUAAAACUAUAUUUAUUUAUUAAUUAUUUUAGUAGUAUAAUAAUAAUAAAGUAAAAAGAAAAGUCAAAGGAAAAAGAAGAAAAAAAAAAGCAAAGCUAAUGCGUCAGUGACGCAUUAGCCCCCUACCUUAAUUCCUUGUAAAUUUGUUCCAAACAUGGGUUUAAUAUUAUUUUAAUGUAAACAGUAUUUUAAUACCCUAUAAUACAAUGUACCAAACAUGCCCUAAGGAAAUAAAUUGAAUUGUUGUGCGAAUUGUAUCGCAUAAGUUUCAAAAUCUCAAUUCACCCCCCUCUUGGGUUGCCUAGUUAGUAUUUCAGUUAUAACACCGUUAGAACUUUGCUGACAUCAUAAGGGUAAAAUUGUCAUUUCACAACGAUACAGUAGUUGACAAAUGCAAAAUAAUAUAACUUUAAGUUGAGUUCAACAAAAAAAAAAGUAAGAAUUGUGUAUUUUUGAAACAAUACGAAAAAAAAAGGUGGUCAGUGGAUGAUUUAUCUUUUACAUUUUAGGGUAAAAAAGUCAUUUAUACAAUAUUCUGUUAAUUUUCUUAACUGUCUCCAAACGGAAGUGGAUGAGUGAAAAGAAAUGUAACUUCAGGUGGAUUUCAACAAAAAGAAAGAAGAAUUAUGUAUUUUUGAAAAAAUUAAAAAAAAAAAAGGUGGACGGUGGAUAAUUUCUCUAAUUUUUAAUUACCACGUUGAUUAGGUUAAAAAAAAAAUGUUCCCAGCUGUUGAUCACCAUUUCUUUUUUCAAUUUUUUUUCCUAUAAGGAUCAGUUUUCCCCAGUGUUAGUUUGCCUGAUGCCCAAUUAGGUGUCAAAAUACUUGAAAUCAAAACGACUUCGUUUUCAUAUUUUAAUAUAUUUAUUUUUUAUAAGUACACGUGUCUUCAUCUUAUUAAGCUCCAUUUCGGGUGUGGCUACAAUGCCGGGAGAUAAUCUUCAGGAAUGAUGCCGGAUGCCUGGUUCUCACAAAGAGACCCCAACAUUCUUUGGUUGCCAAACAAUAGCCAAUAGCCAAAGACCUAGAACAAUCCAUUUCUUUAACUGGUUGCUAUAUUUAACUAAUUAUUUAAAUUUUAAAAAACUAAAAUAGGAUAAUAUACUAAAUAAUAAAUUUUAAAAAGAUAAUAUUAAUAGAAAGGAAAAAAUAUAAAUAAAUAAAAAGUGAAAGAAAAAUAUGAUCUUAUCAAAAUCAAGAGAAAAAAAUAAAAUAAUAAAAUAAUAAAAGAUAAAAAAUUGUUUCUUAUUUUCAUGUGUAUUGUUAUUGGUCUCAAUUUUAUUAUUGUAAGUACCCCUAAAAUUUUCUUUUCUUCCCCAUUUCAUGUUUAAUAUUCAUAUUUCAUAUAUAAGAUUAACAAUUACUUAUUUAUCGUUAAAUGUUUUAUAUAUAACAGUAUCCAUGUUUAAUGUUUAACAUUGCAUAUUUUACUUGUAAUGUUUCAUAUUACAUGUUAUUAUUUUAUGUGUAAAUUUUAUGUUUCAUGUUUUACAUACAUGUUUCAUGUCUAACAUCGUCUGUCACAUGUAUCAAGUACUGUGUUACAUGUUUACUUUAUACUCAUGUUUAACUUUCAAUGUUUCAUAUCUCAUAUUAUUAUUUCACAUAUAAAUUUCGCGUUUCAUGUUUAUAUCACAUGAUGCAUAUUUGAAGUUUGGUGUUUCAUGUUAAAAAUAAUGCCAAAAUUUUUUAUUUUCUUACCUGUUUCAUGUUCAAUGUUCAUGUUUCAUGUACAACAUCGUACAUCACAUGUAUUAACUAUCAUUUGCAUGUUUACAUUGUAACCAUGUUUAGUGUCUAAUGUAUGUUUACAUUGUACUCAUGUUUAAUGUUUAAUGUUGCAUACUUAAUUUUUGUUUUUGCAUAUUUCAUGUUAUUUUUUAACAUGUAAAUUUUAUGUUUCAUGUUUACAUUACAUGUUGCAUAAGUUUAGUAUUUCACGUUUCAUGUUUGAUUUGUUUAUAGUUGAUUUAGGAAAACAAUUUGUGAUAAAGGACUCUUAUUUCUCUUAAUUUAGAAUCCUACUCUCAUCAUAAUAAGAAGUUUAUGAGUAAUACAUAUAUAUAUAAUUUCAAACCCAAAUAAUCAAUUAAUUAUAGCCAUCAAGCAAUAUCUGUUUAGAAUGUCAAAUAAAACGACAUCGAAUGGAAGUUGUCAAAGACAUGAUCCACACCGAACAGCAAUGACACGGUUGGUCAGAUGCUUCCGUAAUACGUGUAUCUAAUUUUUGAAAAAGUAUAACAUCUGUAUCUAUAAAUAUGCUCAAUGUAUAACGUUUUUACUUAAGAAAUGAAAAACACUCGUUUCUUCAUGGUAUCAGAGCCAAAUUGUGGACCUGCUUACUUGUGAUUAGCGAUGGCAAAUGGGCCAAACGACACGUGGCACAACAUGGGUACAGGCACGACACAUGUCUGUACAGCACGGCACGAUGACGAGCACGUUUCGGUGAAGCACGCAGCACAGUACGGCACGCAAGUGGGUAGGGCCAGAUUUAGAAUUUUAGGCAUGUAAGCCUUAAAAGCACGACGCGAUGAAAAAGUCUGCAAUAAGCACAUUUUAUUUUUUAAUGAAAGUACUUAAAAUUUUAUAAUUUUAUAAAUAACUUGAAAUUAAAAUUUUAAAUUCAUUUAAUUAUUAGUUUAAAAAAUAAUAUAAUUGAUUUAUAUUUAUAAUUUAUUAAAUAAAUAAUUGAUAUCAUGAUUUUAAUGAACACAAUUAUAAAUAUCAUGAUUUUAUAAACAUUCAUAAAUUUUAUUGUGAACUAUGAUAUAUGAAUAAGUCCAAGUUAACAAUUAAGUUAACUCUUAAGAAAAAUUUAUUAUUAUUGUUGUUGUUGUUGUUGUUAAGUAUUAAAAAAAUUCUAAUAUUAUAACGUCGAACUUAGUAAUUACUAUUAGAUUUUCUUACUAUUAUUAGUUUAUUUCUAUUGAAUAUGGACUUGAGUUUUAAGUUUUUGAUUCCAUUAAAUUUGAAUAAAGGCAUAGACAUAAAAUAAGUACAUGACUGGAAAAAAGUACGCCAACAAUUUAACAUUCGCUCUUAAAAAAUUAAAAAAAUGAAAAAAAAAACUAAUUGAGCUUUUUUUUUCUUAGGCACGGCAGGACACAAGCCACGGCACGACAUGUGUGGGCACAACACAUGGCCUAAUAAAAAAAAAUUGGGCACUGUAUGGCACGACACAAAAUACAUCAUGGACGCGAGCACGCAUGAGCCUUUCUUUGUGCGGGCCUGACCGGCACAGCUCAUUGGCCAUCUCUACUUGUGAUGCAGCUAUCUAGAAUACAACCAGAUAAAUUAAUAGCAAGGAUCCUAAAAAAUUUAUUAAUUCAACAAUUAUUAAUUAUCAUUAAAUUAAUAAAUUAUUAAUUUAUGAAUAAUUUUCUUAUUUUAAAAAAAUGAUCACGUUCACAAUAGUUCUUCUUCUUUUUUUCAGAGAACCGAAAACAGUAAUUAAUGAGUUGUAUUUUCCUAAUAGAAUGGGUGUUAAGCACCUCUUACACCAGAAUUUUAUGUGGCUAUCAAAUUAUAAAAAGUAUCAUGAAAAAUAAUAAAUAAUAAAAGGUUGAAGCUGGUAUCAUUCAUAUAGAACCUGUCUCAAUUAAUUACAAGUUAUUUUAAAUAUUUAAAAUCAAAAUAUUGUCCUAAUCAACUUUUAAUUUUAUGCACCAGAAAUUUAUGUGGCUAUCAAAUUAUUAAAAGUAUCAUGAAAAAUAAUAAAGAAUAAAAGGUUGAAGCCCGCAUCUUUUUUAUAGGGGUCCAGCUACGUUACCCCAUAAUGGCUUAGAUCUGAUUAUUGGGUUAUGAAUAUUAAAGAUCCUUAUUGUUCAUGAAAAAAAAAAUCAAAAGUUUUGAAAUUAUGACAUAUAAUUUCAUAAUAUUCUUUUUUUUAAACUCUAUUGAACUAGGUUUCCAAUUAAAUGACUUAUUCUUACAUUUAUUAAUAUCUAUUUAAAUUAAUAAAUUUAUUAAUUAAUAAAUCAACUACUUUAUUAUAUAGUUAAACUAUGUAUAUUAUUUACUAACCAUAAUAAAUGAUAAAUAUAAUAUGAUCUUUUUUUUUUAAUUUAACAUAAUGGCAACCAAUUUCCUCUCACCUAUAUGAACAAAGUUCAAAACCCAUAAUUUUCUUUUUCAACACGAGAUUUUAUUAUACAAGUAGAUGAAAUGUACAAAAUACAAAAAUAAAUUUAAUUUCAUAUUCUAUGUAGUUAAUUUUUUUGUAACAUAUUAUUUAUUAAACAUACUAUCAAUUAUUUAAUUAUUUAGUAAAAAUAUGUUAAUUUACUAAUAAUAAUAAAAUGUUAGUUUACGAACUUGUAAAAUCUUUUUUUUAACAAUGAGUUUUGUAUUUUUGUUUGAAUUUUUGUCCUUAAAUAAAAAAUAAAUAAAUUUAAUUGCACACUUAAAUAAAUUGGUAUUUGUUACUCCACUCGAACUGUUUAAAUAGUCAUUAACUUAUCUGAGAGAAAGGUAAAAAAAUUCUAAACAAUUGCUCUAUUUGAAAAUAAUUUAAAUAGUUCUUUAGAAAAAUAAACUAAAAGUAAGUAUUUUCUAUUAUUUCUUCUUUCUUGGUAACAUCACACAUGGAUAAAAAUAGAGAUGGCAAUUCAACACACAUCUAUCAAUUAAAAUAGAAGUCAAUUAAUAUAAUUAGUUGAAUAAUUAAUUGUGUCAUGAAUGAGUUAUCAUAUUAGGAGUUUUAAAACCAAACCCAUUACAAUUAUUAAUCGAGUUAACAGCUAGAAAGAGCAAACAAAUUCAUUCAAGUUGGAUAUCUAAGUAUCUUAUCUAAAUAGAUUGUAUAAUAUCCAUCUAAAAUACUCCGGAUUUGAUUUAUUUAAUAUCCAUCAAUUAACUUGAAUAUUAGUAAUAUUUAAGUGUAUGAGACUAAAAUUGAGUAUUAUAUUUAAUAUUUAAGUUUUGUAAAUCAAAAUAAUAUUGCUAAAAAUUAUUGCACCAUCAAUGACAAUAAUGAUGGUAUCAUCAUUAAGAAAUAGAAGUGAGUGAAUAGAAAAACAAAAACUAUCAACGUAUUUAAAAUUCUCCGAUCAAUGUAAAGGUGGCAAUGUUGCCGGAUAAAUAGAUAUGUCGGUGAUAGAUGAGCCUUCCAAUGCAAACAACUAUAAAAAGACCCUAUGAUUAGAUGACGUUUUGAUGUAGGGCAGAAGCGAUACUAAAUUUCAUUCUAACGUACAUCUUGAAAACUCAAGAAAGAGGCUCUCACUAAAGAGAAGAUAUCUCAAUUGAGAAAAAACUGAAUAUUAUUAAUGAGAAGCUUGUGUCUGUUAUCAUAAAUUAAGAAUAACAAGCCUAUAUAUAUAAUAGUAGUUAACUUAAUCCUAAUCUUUGUCAAAUAAGAGAAAUAAUCUAAAAUGCUAAUUAGAUUAGAAUUACAAAUAUAACUCAAGUAAGCUUAAUAAAAUAAGAUAAAUUCUAAUAAAAUACUAAAUUCUAAAUUGACCCAAAUAUUAUAAUUCCUAGUAAAUUCUAAUUUAUUCAUUUUUUUUUAUAAAUUUGUUUGGUUUUUGGGUUUUUUUUAAAGAACAGAAAAUUAUAGGUAAUAGCAUAAGUAUAGAAAAGUAAUAGUAUAAGGCCAACAACAGAAGAAGGGGAAGGUUUGGCGUGAACGAUGACGAGUUUGAAAGGAGGAUUGACAGUCGAAUUUGCGAAGAAAUGAACGAGCGUCCAUUGAAGCGCGUAGGUGCCGUGCUCGCUAUCGUCGAUCCCUACCACCAUCGUUUGUGUCUCAGCCGUCGCCAUUGAGACGAUGACGACACAACCUUUUUUUUUAAUUUUUUCCCUUUUUUGCUGUGUGUUAUUUAGAAAGCUGCAGAGUUUGUUCGAUUUCGAAUCUAUAUAAGCGAACAAAUCUAAGAGACAGCGAAAUGAUCAUACUUUUUAUCUAGAUAAGAUGAGAACGUAGCAAGUAAAGGAAGUUGCGGGCGAUUGGCGGAAAGUGCUUUAAGAAGUCUGGAGUUUAAUUUUGAAAAGUUAAAAAAAAUUAAUUUUAGUAUUUAUUUUUUAGGGUUAUAAAUUAAUUUUAAAAUAUUAAAAAUUAUUUUUAAUAUCCGGCAAAUUACUUUAAAAAUUAUUUUUAGAAAAAUCAGUUUAUUUUAGAGCAUCUCCAAAAGAUUUUUCAAAUAAAAUUAUACUUCUUAUUUGAUGAGUCAUAUCAAUAUUAAACACUCUAAAAGAUAUGUUAAUUUAGAUUCUUCAAAUAAGAUUUGUUUCUCACUCUUCAAUAUUACCGAGUGAGUUUCUCCCUCUUCUAUUAAUAUUUUAUUAUUAAUUAUUGAAAAGAUAAGACUACAAUAAUUAUUAUUUAUGUUUCCUUUAAAAAACAUAACAACAAUUCAAUUUAAUAGUGGAAAUAUUUUAUUAAAAUAAUGUUAACUUAUUAUUAUUUGAUGAGUCUUUUGGAGAAGAUUGUAUUUUUCCAUCCACUUAUUUCCCACAUCAGUAAGCAAAUUGAUAUUUGAAGAGUAAAAUCUAAAAAGUCUUUUGGAGAUGCUCAUAGUAGNNNNNNNNNNNNNNNNNNNNNNNNNNNNNNNNNNNNNNNNNNNNNNNNNNNNNNNNNNNNNNNNNNNNNNNNNNNNNNNNNNNNNNNNNNNNNNNNNNNNUUUUAAAAUCUAAUUUUGAGAAUUAAUUUUAUAUCUAAUAGUUCCAUAUAUUAAAAAAAUUAAAAUUAAUCUUAUUAAUUAAAAAAUAAAAUCAUUAAAUUUAAAGAUAUUAUUAUUAUUUAAAAUACAAUCAAAAGUUUUGAAAUUUUGACAUAUAAGUCCAUAAUAUUUUUUUUUUUUUAACUCUAUUGAACUAGGUUUCCAAUUAAAUGACUUAUUCUUACAUUUAUUAAUAUCUAUUUAAAUUAAUAAAUUUAUUAAUUAAUAAAUUAACUACUUUAUUAUAUAGUUAAACUAUGUAUAUUAUUUGCUAACCAUAAUUAAUGAUAAGUAUAAUAUGAUUUUUUUUUUAAUUUAACAUAAUGGUAACCAAUUUCCUCUCACCUAUGUGAACAAGAUUCAAAACCCAUAAUUUUCUUUUUCAACACAAGAGAUUUUAUUAUCUCAAGUAGAUGAAAUGUACAAAAUACAAAAAUAAAUUUAAUUUCAUAUUCUAUGUAGUUAAUUUUUUUUUGUAACAUAAUAUUUAUUAAACAUACUAUCAAUUAUUUAAUUAAUAAGAUUAUUUUUAGAAAAAUUUGUUUAUUUUAUAGUAGAUUUUGAGAAGUAUGAAAUGAGUAAUUUUUUAAAAUCUAAUUUUGAGAGUUAAUUUUAUAUCUAAUAGUUCCAUUUAUUAAAAACAUUUAAAAUUAAUCUUAUUAAUUAAAAAAUAAAAUCAUUAAAUUUAAAGAUAUUAUUAUUAUUGCUAUUUAUAUUGUGAUAACAAAAUAAAAAAAAUAAAAAAAUAAAAUAUUUUUUUAAUUAUCAAUUAUUUUCUAUACACAUAAAAAAUAUUUUAUAAAUGUGUGAAUAAAUUUUACUUAACAUUAUAUUGAAUUCAAUUAUUUGUAUGCUUACAAUAGUUUAAUAAGUAAAAUUUACUAAAUACAUAAUACUAUUUUUAAAACUCAUAACAUUUUUUAAAAAUAAAAUUUACCAAAUACUUAAUUAAUUCUUUUCGUAAUUGAUUAUUUCUAGAUUAUAGUAAUCAUUUAAAAGCUUAUUAUUUACCAAAUUAGUCCUAAAAUUCAAACGUUCAUUGGAUGUUUACGUAAUUUUGCUAUCAACUAGGCAACAUUUUAUUGUAAUUUUACAAUCCAGCCCAUACUAACAUGGGCCAGGCCGAGUUCGAGAAAUCGAACCUACUAACCUACAGCCAAUAAUAUUUAUUACCACGUUGAUUAGGGUAAAAAAAAAAAAAAAAAUUGUUCCCAGCUGUUGGUCAGCAUUGCAUUUUUGAGUUUUCUUUCUUUUUUAUUUUAUUUUAUUUACAAGGAUCAGCUUUCCCGAGUGUUAAUUUGCCAAAUAGGGGUGUUCGUGGAUCGAAUUUUACGGAUUAGAUAUCAAUCCAUAUCCGAUCCAUAAUUUUAUAGAUUAUAAAUUUUCAAUCCAAUUAAAUCCACGGAUUGGUGAAACUCAAUCCAUAUAUUUGUGGAUCGAAUAUGUAUUUAACCUAAUUCACAUCCAAGCCAUCAUUUUACAAAUUGAUUUAUGAAAUUUUAAUUUUUAAUUUUGUCCAAUCUAUGAAGUAAUUAAAUUAAAAAAAUCUAAUAUAAAACAAUUUUACUACUAAUUAAAUUCAAAAUUGAAUAAAAUUUAAAGAAAUUAAUUGUUUAAAUAAAGAUAGAAUAAUACAUUCAAUGUUUCAAUAACAUGUCGAAAAGAAUAACAUGCUACAAUCUCAUUUGUUUAUAUCAAUACGUGAAAUUUAACUAAAAUUAUGAAUUUAAAUAUAUACAAAAGUUGAAACUUGAGACCUUAGAUGUAACAAGAAAAAAAUUAAGAAAUUUGAAGAGCUUGAAAAUAAAGUAAGAAAUUAUAAGUACCUCAAUUGCUGAAGUGAAACAGCGAUGGCUUGUGCGUGCAACUGGGUGAGGUUUGGUAGUAUGUGCUAAUUAAAUGUUUUGUUUGGCUUAGGGUUUUUUUUUUUGUUCUGGUUAAGAAUUUUUAAUAUUUAGGAAGUUAUAUUUGCUUAUUUUUUAAUUAACUAUUCAAAUAUUUAAUUAUUUUUUAAUUUAUAUAUAACAUGGUGUUAAUUUAAUUAUAUUUUAACUUAUCAUUUAUUCGUAAGUACCAAUGCUACAUUUGCAAGUUUUAUUUUUUAAUCAAAUAAAUAUUUUUUAUUUUUGUAGAAUCACGGAUUUAUAGAAGUAAAUCUAUAUUCAAUUAACCGACUGUAGAUUUUCAAAAUUUUCAAUCCAAUCCAAUCCGCCAAUCCACAAAUUGGAUUUUUACAGAUUAGAUGGAUUAAGCGGAUCGAAUUAGAUUCUGAACACCUCUACUGCCACCAAUUAGGUGUCAAAAUAAUUGAAAUAAAAACGUCUUUGUUUUCGUAUUUUAUAUAUUUAUUUCUUUUAUAAGUACAUGUGUCUUCAUUUAAUUAGGCUCCAUUUCGGGUGUGGCUACAAUGCCAAGAGGCAAUCUCCAGACAUGAUGCCGAGUUCUGAGAGAGAGAGCCCAACAUUCUUUGGAUGCCAAAUGGCAGUCAAAGACCUAGAACAACUAAUUUCUUUAACUGAUUACUAUAUUUAACUAAUUAUUUAAAUUUUAAAAAUUGAAAUAGGAUAAUAUACUAACUAAAAAAUUUUGAAAAGAUAAUAUUAAUCGAAAGGGAAAAAAAGAUAAAUAAAUAAAAAAAAUGAAAGAAAAAUAAUAUCUUAUCAAAAUCAAGAAAAAAAAGUUUAUAUAAUAAAAGACAUUAAUUUGUUUCUUAUUUUAUAUGUGUUAUCUCAUAUUUGACAUUAAUUUGCUCCUAUGCUGUGCUCGGGGUUAAAUCCUUGUAUGUAUUUUGUAAGUAGGUUUAAUUAGAUUUAAGGGCUUGGAUUCUAUGUAGUCAAAAUACCCGGGACACAUUAAAUAAAACAAGAUGGCUGUAUUGUUCUGAAAUUUCUAGACGCGUUGAAAUUGUGGACCUGCUUACUUGUGAUACAGCUAUCUAGAAUACAACCAGAUAAAUUAAAAGCAAGGAUACUAAAAGGUUUAUUAAUUUAACAAUUAUUAUUUAUCAUUAAAUUAAUAAAUUAUUAAUUCAUGAAUAUGUUUCUUAUUUUAAAAAAUAUGAUCGCGUUCAUAAUAGUUUUUUUUUUUUUCCAGAGAACUGAAAAUAGUAAUUAAUGAGUUGUAUUGUCCUAAUAGAGUGGGUGUUAAGCACCUCUUACACCAGAAUUGUUUGUGUCUAUCAAAUUUUAAAAGUAUCAUGAAAAAUGAUACAGAAUAAAAGGUUGAAUCUAACAUCUUUCCUACAGAACCUGUCUCAAUUAAUUAAAAGUUACUUCAAAUAUUGGCAAACCCUAAGUUUCAUAUAAUGUAACUUACAACCACACACAUGAACAACGCGUGAACCCCACACCACAUAUUAUUUAUGUGUGUGGUUGUAAGUUACAUUACAUGUAAUUUAGAGGGAUCCUUAAAUAUUUAAAAUCAAAAUAUUGUCCUAAUCAACUUUUAAUUUUCAUGCUAUGAUUCAUACUGUGAUUAACAAGGAAAUUCUACAAAGGGGAGGGUAAAGAAACAAGCAAGCGAAGAAACAAGGAGAACAUUAAUGAACAUAAAACAUUACUAUGAAACAUUUGAAGCAUAUGAACUUUGAUGAAACGUUUAGAUGUUUACAUAAAUAUAAGUUAAAUUAUGAUAUUUGAUGACAGCCCAUUUUCAACCGCAAUUGUAAAAUGCAAGAUACAAUAGAUAUCAUACAGUAUCCAACUGAUUCAUACCAUCUUAUUAUGUGUUUACUAAUCAUGAAGCAGAGUAACUGCAGCUUAGUGCUUGGUUUUAGGCCUCUUCACUAUCAUCACCGUGCAGUGAGCAUGAUGAGCACAAUAAUCACUUACACUGCCCAAAACCGCCCUGCAAAAGAAUCGAUCUCGGUUACAAGUCAUCAGAAUCCCCAACAGGAAAUAAAUGAAACCUACUAACCCUCUCAUUCAACAAAAUUUGUAAACCCAUAAUACGUAUGACAUUCCCAGCGAAAGAACACUGAAAUAGAAACCGAUCAAUUUUAUUUUUUUUUCAAAGGUAGAGGAGAAGGCAAAUCCCAAAUUAAAUUUUUAGCAUCAAUUUGCAUUUGGGUGGCCAGUCAGAGAAAAGCGUUUUACUACAUCUCAAUGACAUUUUUUCCACUUAAUUUUCAUCUGGUUAUAGCUACUCCGUAAUAAAGAAUAAAAAAUUGAUUCAUAUAAGCUUUUACAAUAGUACUCGAUCUAUUUAUAGUGUAUUUACACAUACAGAUUUGAGUCGUUAUGAUUGAAAACUAUGAAUAAUAACCAAAACAGUUCACCAUACCAAGUUCCACUCGAGAAAAUAUGAGAUACCAAAAGAAACAACUUAUAGUGGAUUUAUACCUUUUGAUCGCUCCAUAGCCAUGACUACCAACAACCAAUAUGGAGGCAUGAUGCUUCUCUACAGCAUCACAGAGGAUAUUUCGAGCAUCUCCUUCCACCACUUCAACAACAGCAUCAUGCACCUAAACAAAACAGAACUACUAAUUUACAGAAAUGAUAGCAGAAGGAAAACAAUUGUUAAGUAUACCUAUUAUAAUCUGGUAUAUUCAAACCAGGGAAAGAUAAAAGGAUAAGCGUGAAUACUUAGAACAUCUCCAAAAAAAUUUUCAAAUAAAAUUCUAUUUCUUAUUUGAAGAGCCAUAUCAAUAUUAAACACUCCAAAAGACACGUUAAUUUAGAUUUUUCAAGUAAGAUUUGUUUAUCACUGUUUAAUAUUGGUGAGUGAAUUUCUCCCUCUUCUAUUAAUAUUUUUUUAUUAUUUAUUGAAAAGAUAAGACGGUAAUAAUUAUUAUUUAUGUUUCCUUUAAAAAACAUAACGGUAAUUUAAUUUGAUAGUGGAAAAGAUUAAUUAAAAUAAUAUUAACUUAUUCUUAUUUGAUGAGUCUUUUGGAGGGAAUUGUAUUUUUCUAUACACUUAUUUGCCACAUCAGUAAGCAAAUUGAAAUUUAAAGAGUAAAAUCUAAAAAGCCUUUUGGAGAUGCUCUUAUAACCCAGAUCCACCAAUUUAGAAAGGUUAAUUUUGGAUUACCGAUCACAAAAUGACAGUUCUCGAAGUACCUCUAAACUAGGGAUGGCAAUGGGGAGGGGAGGGGAGGGGACCAAUCUCCCCAUACCCAUCCCCGAUGUUUUGCAUAUGUCCCCGUCCCCUCCCCGUCCCCGUCAAAAUUGCUUGAGAGAAUCCCCAUCCCCUCCCCGAAUAAUAACAGGGGAUCCCCGAGGGUCCCCGGUCCCCGAAUAAUUAAUAGUCUAAUACAUUUUUUAUUUUCGAUUUUAAAUUAAUCAUAUUAAAAUAAACUCAUACCGCUAUUGUAAGCUCGUAACCAACUUUGACAGCACAUUAAGGCCUCCAAUGUGCUUGGAUGAAGUUUGUUAUGGUAUGAGCUCACAACUCUACCACUAGUGUUAAAAGCUGAUUCAGAAGCAACUGUUGUAAUUGGAAUUGCCAAAAUAUCUCUAGCAAUUCGAGCUAAUGUAGGAUACCUAUUAGCAUUUGUCUUCCACCAACUCAAAAUAUUAAAAUCUUCCAUCCGAGAUAUAACUUUCUCAUCCAAAUAUGAAUCUAAUUCAUCUGCAACAACUGCACAAUCUCCAUUGUUUACAUAAUCAUUAAAACCUGUCAUCCAUUUNNNNNNNNNNNNNNNNNNNNNNNNNNNNNNNNNNNNNNNNNNNNNNNNNNNNNNNNNNNNNNNNNNNNNNNNNNNNNNNNNNNNNNNNNNNNNNNNNNNNUCUGCCGCGAUGGUUCUUGCUCCCAGGCAACCCACUCAAGCUUCUACAAAUGCAACUUGCUCACAUCGAUUUCACCAAUUCUCUCCUUAUCCACGGCUGGGAUAUAUAACACGUUAUAUCUCAUAGAAUAAAAGCAGUUGGAUAUUUGCUCCAAGUCAUCCCCGUCCCCUCCCCGAAUAAAAAGUUGGGUAAAAAAUUUUCCCCGUCCCCUCCCCGAAAAAAAAAUUGGGUAUAAAAUUAUCCCCGUACCCUCCCCGAAUGGGGAAAAUCCCCGAGGGUACCCAUCCCCGUGGGGAUUUUUGCCAUCCCUACUCUAAACUAUUUUAAACCUUAACUUACCUCUUUUUGGGUUCAAAAAAUAAAUAAAAAUUGGGGGUGCAUUGAUGAAAUUUUUUUCGUCUUCUUAACAUAAAUGAGGGAAAGUUGAUGUUUAGAAGAAUAUUUUGAAAAUUAUCAUUUCACGAGUGGGCAAUCUAAAGAUUUUUGAACUGUACUACAAAAACGUAUGUGUAUAUAAAAUCCUAGACGAUCCCAAGAUUGUAUUUUAUUUAUAGAUUGUAAUAUCAUUAAAAACAAAUUACAAACUAAUCAUUACCGAUUUACUGCUGCAGAUUUCUUUAGCCUCCUCCACAAGCCUAGCAGCAAUCUUCUUCAAAUCUGAGUCCACAUGAGGCAAAACCUCGACAGCUCCUGCGAUAAAUUAAAAUUAAAAACCAGUUACUUGGUCACCAAGAAAGAAAGAAAAAACAAACAAACAAAAAUCGAAAACUAAAAUCGAACAAAGGACAACAAAAUCCAUUACUUAAUUUUUAAAACUUGCAAAGCAAGGACAAAUACCAAAGGAAUAAUUACUUAGAUUUAAAAUUACUUUACCAUGUCCAGCGAGGCCAAUAACAGCAGAAGGGGAAGGUCUGGCGUGAACGAUGACGAGUUUGAAAGGAGGAUUUACAGUCGAAUUUGCAAAGAAAUGAUCGAGCGUCCAUUGAAGUGCGUACGUGCUGUGCUCGCUAUCGUCGAUCCCUACCACCAUCGUUUGUGUCUCAGCCGUCGCCAUUGAGAAGAUGACGACUCGACCUUUUUUUUCUUUUAUUUUUUUCCUUUUUUGCUGUGUGUUAUUUAGAAAGUUGCAGAAUUUGUUCGAUUUCUAAUCUAUAUAUAAGCGAAUAAAUUGAAGAGACAGCGAAAUAAUCAUACUUUUUCUAUGGAUAACACGAGAAUGUAGCAAGUAGAGGAAGUUGCGGGCGAUUGGCGGAAAGUGCUUUAAGGAGUCUGGAGUUUAAUUUUGAAAAGUUAAAAAAGUUAAUUUUAGUAUUUAUUUUUUAGAGUUAUAAAUUAAUUUUAAAAUAUUAAAAAUUAAUUCUGAUGUUUGGUAAAUUAUUUUAAUUUUUUUUAAAAAAAUCACUUUAUUUUAUAGUGGAUUUUAGAAGUAUGGAAUGAGUAAUUUUUUAAAAUUUAAUUUGAGAAUUAAUUUUAAAUCUAAUAGUUCCAUAUAUUAUAAAAAUAUAAAAUUAAUCUUAUUAAUUAAAAAAAUAAAAUUAUUAACCUUAAAGAAAAUAUUAUUAUUAAAGAAAAUAUUAUUAUUACUAUUUAUACUGUGACAAAAAAAUAAAAUUAAUAAUAUAAAAUAUAUUUUUUAAUUAUCAAUUAUUUUCUAUGCACAAGAAAAUUUUUUAUAAACAUAUUUAUAGAUGUCUAAAUAAAUUUUUACUUAACAUUAUAUAGAAUUCAGUUAUUUGUAUUGUUACAGUAGUUUAAUAAAUAAAAUUUUAUCAAAUACAUACGACUAUUUUUAAAACUCACAGUAUUUUUAAAAAUAAAUUUUACCAAACAUUUAAUUGAAUUUUUUUUUGUAACUAAUUAUUUUUACAUCAUAAUUAAUACUAAUUAUUUAAAAGCUAGGCAUUACCAAAUUGGCCAUAAAAUUCAAACGUUCUUUUGGAUGUUUUUGUAAUUUUGUUAUCAGCUUAUCAGAUGGGGAACGUUUUAUUGUAAUUUUACACUAGCCCAUACUAACAUGGGCCACAUGGGCCAGGCUGAGUUCAAGAUAUCGAACCUAGUAACCUACAACCAAUAAUAUUUUAUUACCACGUUGAUUAGGUUAAAAAAAAAAAAAGUUCCCAGCCGUUGGUCAGCAUUGCAUUUUUCAGAUUUUUUUUUAAGGAUUAGCUUUCCUAGUAUUAGUUUGCCUGAUGGCCAAUUAGGUGUCAAAAUAAUUGAAAUCAAAAUGAUUUUGUUUUCGUAUUUUAUAUAUUUACUUCUUUUAUUAGUACAUGGGUCUUGAUCUGAUUAGACUCUAUUUCAGGUGUGGCUAAUAGGGAUGGCAAAAAAUUUCAAAUCCCAUUUCGGAUUUGGGAUCCCGAACUAUUUGAAAUGGUAUUGGUCCGUAUUUUUGGACCGAAUUUUAAAAACGGACGGGAGUUGGGAUUGAAAAAAAAUCACAAUUUACUAUGUGGGAUGGGAUUAAGAUCUAAGUCAAGAUCCCGCGGGAUUCCAUUUGUCCUGAUUGUCUCAUUUAAUUUUUGGAAGAAAUACUAUAUUAAUAAAAUCAAAAGUAAGUAAAAUUAAACUAAUGGUUAAUUAAUAGUGAUUCAAAUAGCAUUAUAACAAUAUACUAUAGGCCCAAGUAACAAACACAAGCCUAUUUGUUGUAUUAUUUUUAGUUUAAUUAAAUAAAUCUAAAACAUAAAUAUUAAACUGGAAACCUAAAUUGCGAUGUUAACAAUUUUAUAGAAUCAUUGGAUUAAAUACUUUUUUAAUAUUUUAAUGAAAUUUAUAGUAUUUAUUAAAUGAGACAUUUGGGAUAUUCGGGCUAUUUGGUCCAGGACAGGAUUUUGAGCAGUCUGGGAUUGGUCCAAUUUUUUCUCCCAUUUAACUAUUCGGGACAGGAUCAGAUUUGAUCCGCAUUAAAAUUCCGUUUUACUAUUCGGGACGAGACCGGGAUUGUCAAAUCCUGGACCAUCUUGGACCAUUGCCAUCUCUAGUGGCUACAAUGCCAGAGGCAAAUCCGGCUUCUCGGAAAGAGAGCCCAACAUUCUUUGGUUGCCAAAUUAUAGCCAAAUACCUAGAACAACUAAAUUCUUUAACUGAUUACUAUAUUUAACUAAUUAUUUAAAUUUUAAAAAUUGAAACAGGAUAAUAUAUUAACUAAAUUUUUUUGAAAAGAUAAUAUUAAUAGAAAGGAAAAAAAAGAUAAAUAAACAAAAAAUGAAAGAAAAAUAAUAUCUUAUCAAAACCAAGAGAAAAAAAUAAAAAAUUUAUAUAAUAAAAGACAAUAAUAUGUUUCUUAUAUUAUAUGUGUCAUCUCAUAUUUGACAUUAAAAUUUUCAUGUGUAUUGUUAUUUUUCUCAACUUUAUUAUUCUAAAUACGCUUAAAAUUUUCUUUUCUUCUCCAGUUGAUGUUUGAUAUUCAUAUUUCAUAUAUAACAUUAACAAUUACUUGUUUAUCAUUAAAUGUUUUAUAUAUAAUAGUACUCAUAUUUAAUGUUUAACAUUGCAUAUUUAACUUGUAAUGUUUCAUAUUACAUGUUAUUAUUUUAUGUAUAAAUUUUAUGUUUUAUGUUUUAUGUUUACAUCACAUGUUGCAUUUUUGAAAUUUGGUGUUUGAUGUUAGAAAUGGCACAAAAAAAUUUUAUUUUGCUCCCCGUUUCAUGUUUGACGCCCAUGUUUUAUGCAUAACAUUUUUUGUCACAUGUGUCAAGCACCAUGUUAUAUGUUUUCUUUAUACUCAUGUUUAAUGUCUAAGGUUGCAUAUUUUACUUUCAAUAUUUCAUAUCCUAGAUUAUCAUUUCAUGCAUAAAUUUCAUGUUUCAUGCUUUCAUCACAUGUUGCAUUUUUAAAGUUUGGUGUUUCAUGUUAGAAAUGAUUCCAAAAUUUUUUAUUUUUCCACUCAUUUCAUGUUUGAUAUACGACAUCAUCUGUUACAUGUAACAAGUAUCAUGUUGCAUGUUUAUAUUAUACCCAUGUUUAAUGUCUAAUGUUGCAUACUUAACUUUCAUUUUUGCAUAUAUCAUUUUAUUAUUAUUGUUUUUUUACAUGUAAAUUUCAUUUUUACAUUAUAUGUUGCAUAAGUUUAGUGUUUGAUGUCAUAAAAAAAGGCAAAAAAUUUUGUAUUCCUAUUAAUUUCAUAGUUGACGUUCAUGUUUCAUGUAUAACAUCGUUCAUCACAUGUAUCAACUAUCAUAUUACAUGUUUACAUUGUACCCAUUUUAAUGUCUUAUGUUGCAUCCUUAACUUUUGUUUUUGUAUUUUUUUGUUAUUUUUUCACAUGUAAAUUUCAUGCUUUAUGUUUACAGCACAUGUUAUAUAAGUUUAAUAUUCCAUGUCAUAAAUAAAGCCAAAUAGUUUUAUAAUCUUGUUUGUUUCAUAUUUGACAUUCAUAUUUCAUGUACAACAUCGUCCGUCACAUGUAUCAACUACCAUAUUUCAUGGUAUAUCGUACUUGUGUUUAAUGUCUAAUAUUACAUAUUUAACUACUAUUUGUAUAUUUCAUGUUACUUUUUUACGUCAUGUGCUACAAAUUUUAUGUUGCCUAAAACAAAUCAUCCUACAUUCUAUUUUCUUCACAUUUUAAUUUAAAAACCCAGCAAAUCAUCCCCCCGCCCUUAAACCGAUGGCUAUUUUAGUUGAAAAAUACAAAACAUAGAAACUAUAAAAAUUUGACAACAAAAUUCUUGAAAAUGAACUAAUAUAAUAAAGGCUUAUGCACAACUUAUAUCUAUUCGUCCAAUUCCAAUUACCAAACAUCACAACUUAAAAUUUAAUUGUUGCCUUACAGCAAAAAUACUUAAAGACUGAAGAGAAAGAUGCCACCAUGAGGAAACAAUUUCAUAGAUAUUUCCAAUUAAUUGUAAAGUGGAGCUGUGCUUUUGGUGAUUCUUGCUUGGUAGCUUAAUUGGCUAAACUCUUAGGAGAAUUAUUAAGUCUUUGUUUGUUUCUAGUUGAUUUAGGAAAAAAUCUUGUGUUAAGGGACUCUUAAUUCUCUUGAUUUAGAACCCUACUCUCAUUAGAAUAAGAAGUUUAUAAAUAAUUAUGUAACCAUUUAGAUUUUACCCAGUACAUAAUCUUUCUCUUCCUUUAUCUUACUAUAACACUUUUUCUUCUUCAUGUUAUUUCUUGAUCCUUUUUUUCUUCCAAUUUCAAAUUCAUAAAAUAUCAAUUGCAAUGUAUACAUCCCAUCAAUUUCAAACCCAAACAAUCAAUUAAAUAUAGUGAUCAAGUAAUGCUCCACAAAAUCAUGUUACUUCUCCCCCUUCAUCAUAAAAAGGUAUAGUAUUUUGGCUUCCCGUUUUAACAGCAAAAAUGUUUAAGAUGCUUAUCACUCAAAAUAAAAACAAUAACAAAGCGGAGUUGCAAUGGCAUCUCCCUCUAUCAAUAACCAAGAAAACAUAUAAUUUUCCAAGCAAGUGCAUGCAAAAAAUCAUAAGAGUAUAAAAUUGAAUAUCAAUAUAUUCGUAAAUAGUAAAAAACGUAGGUAAGACAUUAAUUCAUAAACAAAGAUGAAUAGCAUAUGCAGAGAAUGCAAGAGAAAAUGUUGGUGCGGAAAAACAAAUAAGGAAACAAGAAAGGAUCUAGAAUGGUGGCUAUGGUGGUAGUGGUGGAGGAGGAAUGCCGAGAGAUUCAAAAAUCUGUUGUUGCCCGUCGAGAAGUCAUUGGUGCUGGAGAUAAGGAUUCAUUGCUGAUCUAAGUUUUUGCUGAGCACUGAAUCAAUAGUUGUUAGGUAAGAGAAAUCAAAAAAAUAAAAACUCAAAAUAAAUCUUGAUGAUUGAAACAUUCGUAUAACGUACUGUAUACAUUCAAAAUAAAUCUUUCCUAUUUUAGGUGCGAUAAUAAUGCAUGCCCCCUAAAACAUCCAUAUAACAUACUUUAAUUUUUUCUCUCACUUGCAAAGAAACUGGUCAGAUAAUUUCUUACCUCAACAAAACUAAAGUAAAAACUCAAUUGAGCACAUCGUGAACUAAAACAAGAUAACUUGUUUUCCACUGAUUUAAUGAGUUAACUAGGAAAACACAUUAACCUAAAUUUAUCUUGAUAAUUUGACUUGAGGUUCAAUACCUUCUCUCACAUUUCUUUACAGUGCUCUAAAAAAAUAUAUUUCCUGGCCAAAUUUCCCCAAGAAAUUAUGUUAUCUAAGUAUCAAUUUUAAUGGCUCAGUUCGUCAUGUCAAAUGCGCAUUUUACAACAAAAAAAAAGGAGAUACUAAAUAAACUUGAACACGAGAUUAUCCCAUUAAAUUUAAAUAUCAUUUUCUUUAUCUGGAUCAAUUCCAAGCAUCCAUUUUCUUAGUAGACAAUUUAUGAGUUUUGGGAACAAUUAAGAAACAAAAUAUCAUGUAUAUAUUAAAUAGGUACCUGGUUAUUGCCCAUUGAACAGAGAUGAGGUGUAGCAACAGUGAUGAAGUUUUAUUCUCUAUCAUAACAGUCUAUAUAGUCUUCUAAUUGCAUAUUUUGCAACUUAACCUCCAACAGAAUGCGCAAAAAAGGAAUUUUCCCCAGAACUCAAGCAUUCUGUCAAUAGUGAAAUAGCACGUGAAAAUAGAUGCUCUUACAUAAAAGGAAAAUAGACUUUUUAGAAUUCUAAAUGCUAUGUGAAUCCAUUAAUCUAAGUCAAUCCAUAAUAAUAAAAAGAUACCAAACUCCUGUGCCACAUGCUCACCCUCUAAUCUACAUGAUCUAGAGUCAACUUAGAUAUUUUUUGUUCACUGCCCACAAUAUAUUCAAUAAGUACCAAUAAAGUUAGCUUAGAUUUAUUUCAUUCACUACCUGAAAAAUGUAUCCAAUAGGUACAAUUGGAGGUUAAAGAUCAGUAUUGCACUAUUUUUAUAUGUAUUAAAGUAUUUUUUAUAUCUACCUAGAACAUGGGUCAUUCAUCCAUCAACCCAUGGCUUCCACGCAGCCAAAAUCCAAAAAGGAAGAAUAAUGUGACACUUGGUAAAUAUAUAAGAACAAUUGAAUUUUGUUAUGGGAAAAAAGUAAAUAUAAUUUAAGCUAUCUAAUAAUUACAAAACUUGAAGAAUUUAAAAACAUUGGCAUUAGAUGGUACAAGUAUAUUUAAUUCGAUAUCCAUGAAAAAGAGUCCAUGAUCACAAAAAUAUCCAGCAUAUCAUCUGGAUAUUUUCUCAAGCAACUAAACAAAAAAUAAUCAAUUAGUUCAUCUAUUUGGAUGUAAUUUCUGACAAAUUUUAAAUAUUUUUCUUUAGUAAUGCCCUAUAGAUAUAAAGCAAAUACAGGGAUAAACAUGGUCAAACAAGAACAUAAUCUACACUUUUUAAUAAAUUGUAACAAAUAGAUGGCACAUUUGGGGGCAUUUUUAUGGUAAAUUGAUACAUUCUUAUCUUAAAAUCCAACAUUUCAAUUAUUUAGCAAAACACAAGUCUCAAAAAUCUAUACACACACACACACACACACAAAUAUAUAUAUAUAUAUAUAGAAAACGUAUGGAAUGAUGCUUCAAAGAAUAAUAUAAAAGGAUCUAUAUUUGCGUUAUGAAUAAAAAAAAUAAUUUUACAUGAAGAUUUAUGAAGAUGCAUGAUAUAUCAUAACCUCAAAGUGGAUAGCUCCAAAUACUGAAUACAAUUUAGUUCAAACUUAAUUUACUUUUUCCAGAAUCUCUAAAAGAAUAUGUAUCAAGAAUUUCAAAUCUAAUGUGAAGAAAAAAAAAUAGUUCACUCUAAUUUGUAUAAUUACAGACAUUAUUUUACUGUCUCUUUAACUCAAGUGUAUGUAAAUGUUUUGCUCAGGCACAACUACAUUAAAUGUCAAAAUCGUUUAUAAUCAAGGUAAUAACAUCCAAUUGGAAUAAGGAUGUAAUUGGCAAUGUCUUUCACUGGGUUAGGGAGGUGGAGGAGGAUGUUGCUCAGAAGGAGAGACAGCGUGACAUGUCUAGUUCUGGUGAGGAUAAAGCUAUUUUUUCAGAGGCUUGAGCCGCGCUUUACUUUGUGAAGAGGUUUUUUUACGUCAGUAGGCCAUUGUUCAUUGGGUCCGGUAGGGGAAUGCUAACACUUGCUUUUUCCAUGCAAUGAUUCAGAAAGAAGUGCCGGCUUUUUCAUGUCCAUUGGAUUCAGGAUGCCUCUUCUGAGUGGAAUUAUGAGCCAUCUGCUGUGGCUGCCUCUAUAAUUGUGCUAGUCAGUUUCACCAAUCUGGCUUUGAUUUUAUUAUGUCUUUGGUAAUUGCCAAGGAUCAUGUGGAUUUAUAUAAGGAGCCAGAUAUGGAUGAUUAAUAGUGUCCUAAGUCUGAAUGGGUUAUGCAGUAGAUUUUACCGGUCGUGUUGGGACAUUAUUUGCAGUGAUUUAUUGGAGGUUGUCCUUGAUUAGUUUAGAGUUUCGGCUAUGCCUAGGGGUUUUCAGAGUACGUUGCUAGUUCGUCUUCUUAAGAAGCCCUUCCCAAGUCUACGCAAUGUGAGCAAUAAGGAUUUGACCAAGUUACUUAUGUUGAGAUUUUGUUGCCUCGUCUUAUCGCUCAUUCUCAGAAUGGUUUUGUCUUUGGCAAUGUGAUUUAUGAUAAUGUGCUUUCGAUUUAAGAGCUGGCUCAUGAUCUCAACCGCAGUACUCAGAGGAAUAAUGUAAUGCUAAAGCAUGAUAUGGCCAAAGCUUAUGACUAGAUGUCUUGGUCUUUUAUUGCUUAGAUGUUGUAGUGUUUUGGGUUUUCAAAAUAGUGGGUCUCUUUGAUUUGGUGAGCUAUCUUUGGCCCUUGGUUCUCGUUAUGGUGAAUGGGGUUAGUCAUGGUGUUUUCCAGUCUCACAGUGGUAUUAGGUAGGGCGAUCCUCUUUCCCCGCAUUUGUUUAUCAUUGCUGCUGAGUUUUUGUCUCAGGGCUUAGACCAUUUGUACUCUCAAUAUCCCUUUGUGUAGUAUUGUUUGGCUGCAUGUAUCACUAUCUCUUAUUUGAGCUUUGUGGAUGAUAUUGUUAUUUUUACAAAUAGGAGUUGGUUGAGCCUUUAGCGGGUUAUAAAUUUUUCAUAUCAUUAUGAGGUAGUUUUGGGACAAUUGAUUAGUCAAGCCAAGAGCAAUUUCUACAUUGAGGACUCAGCUUCUGCCUCGGGCCAACUAUUAUCCAUUCUAUCACUAUUUUCUAACGGCAUUAGCUUCUAUUCAUUUAUCUUAGGUGCUCGGUCUUUAUGGGGCAUCUCAAGAUUUCUCAUUUUGAUGAUAUAGUCUGGAAGGUCAAGGAAUUGGAUCUCGAGUUGGACCAAUCAGUUGCUAUCUUUCAGUGGGAAGCUGAUGUUCACUUGACAUGUAUUGUCUUCUAUGUCACUUCAUUUGUUUCAUGUUCUUAUCCCUCUUAUGGCUGUGGUUCAGUGCUUAAAGAUAAUAUUUACUCAGUUCUUAUGAGAUGAUUCUGAGAACGAGGUAUAGAUAGCCAGCGGUGUGUCAUCCGGUUGAGAAGGGUGGCCUCAAUAUCCAGUCUUUUAAUGAUAUGCCUGAGGCUUUUAUGCUCAAGCUUUGGUGGCAUUUUCGAGAGCAGAGUUCAUUAUGGCCUUUUUAUAUGAAGUCUAAGUAUUGCAAAGCUACACAUUUAAGUUUGCUUCAGAUUAGUUAUCUUGUUUCUCCUCUCUGGAGAUGCCUUUUUUUUUUUUUUCCAUUUGGUGUGUUGCUGGGCCUCAUGUGCAUUGGUUGAUUAGUCAUGGGGAGUGCAGUUUUUGACAUGAUUGUUAGUUGGCCUUUUGUUUUUUGGUCAUUUAUAAUCCUACAAUGGCUUCUAUUAUGUCAAUUUCCUUUUAUUGGUGGGGUAUAGUUUGGGAUAAGGGUGAGCUCCUGAAUGUGUUGCCCUAUUUUAUUGUUGAACAGAUUUUAUUGGUUACUAUUUCUAGUAGGGAGUCAAAUUUAAUUCGAUGGGAUCUUCCCUCUGAUGGCCUUUUCAUUUACAGACAGUUUGGGAGUUUGUCUGUUGUUUUAGGCCGAGGGAUAAGGUUGUUUCGGUUAACUAAUAACGAUAUAUCCUAUCUCAUAUUUCUUUUUUUCUCUGGCUAUUGCAUGGUUUUUUGGCUAUUGAUAAUGCAUUGCGCAUGAGUGGGUUUUUGCAUGGCCUCUUGGUGUGUUUUUUGGGCUGUAAAGACUUCUCGGCACUUAUUUAUUGAUUGCCCGCGGGUUAGCCAUGUUUAGGUUCAUUUUCUAUAGAUUUUAAGUAUAAGAGAUGUUGCUUUUUUGACCCCCUCCCCCCGAUGCUUUACUUCUUCAUUGGUAGUGGUGUGUCCCUUCUCGGAAUCACCUUCAGGUCCUCCUACCUUGCUUUAUUUUGUCGUAAGUUUGGAAGGCCCUUAAUGCUUUCAUGUUUGAUUCGCAAUCUUUUCAUGUUGAUGCGGUUAUCUGUCAGGUGAUAACGGAUCUCAGGCUUGCUAGUUCCACUUUUGGCUUUAAGCUUUCCUAGCUGAAGGGAUUUUUGGGUUUUGGGAUUACAGAGGGUUUGCGAGUUAUAAUUGCACUAAAAGGCUGAUUUGAUUAUUUUCUUAAAUAAGGCGCCUCUUAAGGUUGUAAAGAUGAUUGUGGAUAGUUGCUCUAAGGGCAAUCCUGGGAUGGCUGCUCCGGGUGGCAUUAUCUGAGAUCAUCGAGGUACAGCUUUGGCUGCUUUUAGAUAUUUUCUAGGUUGUCAGCCAAUUUUUUAUGCUGAGGCUAUGGUUGUUUGUGAAGGGUUGAUUUUGCUACCCAACUUGGUUACUCUAUACUUGAGGUGGAGUCAAAUUCAGCCAUGGUUGUUUCUUGGAUUCAUUCCAGGGGUACUGUUCGUUGGGAUUGUGCUUAUUCGUUGCGUUGGGUGUGAGCUUUGACAUCUUCCUAUCCUAUUUUGGUUUGGCAUGUGCUUCAGGAGGCUACUUCUGCUGUUGAUUUUUUGCCCAAUUGGGCUUGCACUCAUGGGGUUAGUAGGCAUUUCUUGUGUUCUCAAGAUAUUUCUGUAGGCUUAUCUAGUAUUCUACAUUUGGAUGCGCAAACUGAUCCCAUGUCAAAUGCUAGCAUUGAUGGCUUUCCUUAUUAUUUCAUUCUUCUCUUUUUAUUUUUGUACAUUCUUAUAUAUUUUCAUUUACUUUAGGAAAUUUUGGUUUAUGUCUAGCUCCUUACGUAUUUGUUCCACUACUGAUUUAUAUUAUAGGUAGGAGCCCGCCUAAUCCCCCACCUCUUGGUGGUUUUUAAUUAAAAAAAAAGUAAUAUUAGUGUUUUUAGUUUUAAAAUACAUGAUACAAAAAAUAAUAUCAUACGCAUGCUUAAAUUCAAAAUAGAAUAACUGCAAAACAUUAUUUUUAUUUUUAUUUUAUGUUUUCAAAAAAUAUUAAUUAAAAAACAAUACCAAACGAGCACUUAGAGAUUUGAGGGAGAUAAAAUUACUAAGCAACCGACAUUUCAAUUUGCCCUUUUUUCUAUUUUUAUUUAAUAUUAAAUCUCAUCCGUUGGAUUCAUUUUAGUUGAAUCCAAUGGUUUGUUUUAAACUUACAGCAUUGCAGUAGGCUAGUAGCAGCCUUUUUUUUUAAUGUAUUAUAAAUUUUUUUUCUUUUUAAAUCUCACCCAUCGUCCUCUAACUAUUUAUUUAAGGGAAAUUAUCAUUUGUAUACCCUUAGUAUACUCUAUUAUCAAUAAUAUUACAAUACUUUGAGGGUGUAUCAAUCUUUCAUCCUAAGAUGAUAAAAUGUAUCAACUGACCACCAAACCGUUAGUUGUCGUUUAAGUAUGAUGACGUCAGAAGGGUAAUUUGGUCUUUUCAUAUGUACAAGUGAUAAUUUAAGGGUAUACAAGUGAUAAAAAGAGAAUUUAAGGGUAUACAAGUGAUAAUUUUCAAGGGUAAAAUCAUUAAUUCACUGUAACUCUGUUAACUUUCAAACGGCAACUAACGGUUUGGUGGUCGGCUGAUACAUUUUGUCAACUAAGGGUGGACGAUUGAUACACCUUCAAAGUGUUGUAGUAUUUUUGAUAACAGAACAAAUAUAUAGUGUAUGAAUGAUAAUUUCCCUUUAUUUAACUACUCUAGUGUGUGAUUUUUUAGAGUUACGGUGGUAACUGCUGACAUAUCCCAUUACGUUAGCAUCACGUGUUUUGUGAGGCCCAUAGAGAGCACUUAAUUGCCCAACCAUUAUCGGUUACAGUUUUUUUCCCCAAAAAAAAACUAUAAAUAUAAAUUAUUGGCUUGAAAAGCAACUAACCCAUUCAAUAGAAAAUGAGAGUAGACGAGAAAUGGCGGGGAUAGUGAAGAGAAUCAAGUUGGGUUCACAAGGUGUUGGCCGGGUGGGCGCCCAAGAUGGGCCGACCUGACCCGACCCGCACAUGGUAACCACUUGUUGGUUACCAUGCACGUUUGGGAGAGGGAAGUUGAACACAAAUCAACUUCCCAAUUGCUCCCAACUGUUGUAUAUAUAAAAAAAAAAAAAACGCUGCUGGAAAAGAAAGCAAGUUAAAGAUUUAUUUCGAAAAAGAAAAACCAGCAGAGUGUGUGUGUGUGGGUGAACGAAAAAAGGAUUAAAAACAAGAUCAUUGAACAAUCUGGAAAAGGCAAAUACACUAUGAUUUGAGGAAGAUUUUCGUUCGUGAUUUCUUUCUGACCAGUGAUGUGAUAUAACACUUGUUUAUUUCGCUGCAUAAUUCGAAAAGGUAAGGCCUAUUGACUCAUUUAUGAUUUUCUUUCAUUGGUAUCAGAGCCUGAAUGUGUUGGAUUCGUGCAUUGGUUGGAUUUGAUUCAUGAAAAGCAUGAUUUUUUAUUUUAUUAAUUUUUGUGAUGGCUGUUGUUUUAAGUGUUCUCGAAUGUUUAAUAUGAAUGCAUAAAUUCUGGAAUUGAAGUUAUUAAAACCGGCCUAGGGUUUAGAUUGCAUGAACCCUAAAUAUUUUAUGAAACCCGAAAGUUCAAUGGAUCAUAUUUUUUGAUCUAGGAUACCUAACAGUACGAAAAGAUAUUUCCAAAGAUAUAUUAUUUGUUAAAAACGGACUUAAGACGAGAAAGUUAUGGCCAAAAUACGUUUCUGGUUAGAUUAUGGUUUAGAAAGGGUUAAAAACCCUAAUUUGGAGAAGAUGAUGAAUAGUGUCGGAGUUAGUUUUUUGAUGAUUCCGGCCUAUUCCGACCUCCGUUUGAAACUCCGAAUGUACCAUUGUGUUCAUAAUGAAAAAUGGAGUCGGAUAGUGUUGGACCCAACGCCACUUGAGCGGUGCAAGGCCGCGCGUGUAUUCCACGUGCGGGUUUGUGUGUGUUUGAACGUGAUUGUAGCAUUUUUGUAGCACACUGUAGCAUACUGUAUCGGCAUUGUAGCAAGUGUAGCGAUACUGUAGGGGUACUGUAGAGUACUGUAGCGCACUGUAUCACACUGUAGCGCGCGUGGGGAUAAAUCCGGAUUUGUAAAGUUUUACAUAUUUUGCUAUUCGGGACUUCGAUUUGGGCGUUGUUUGCGCCGUUUGAUCCGAAAUUUAAUUUUCUAUUUUUUUAUAUAUGAAAUAAUUAUUUUUAAUCAUUUCUUAUUUUUUGAAAUAAAAUUUUGGAUCGAAUUAAUAUAGUCUCACGGAUGAGCAUUAUAUGUUAAUAAAUGUUUUGUUCUAGUGGGAGCUUGAAAUAUUUAUUUAUUUUUUAUGGAAUUGGCUAAAAUUUAAUCUCGUAUUUAGUCGUUUGUUAACAAUCCCUAAUUUUAUUUUUUAUAUUUUAUUUUUCUCGUAGAUGCCUCCCGUUAGUAAGUUGUGGACUGAGGAAGAAUGCUUAAUGACAAUUAGAGCUUGGGUUUCACCUAAUGAUCUAAUUGAGAUUAAUAAUAAUCUAUCUUAUAAAGAACUUACGGAGAAAAUGGAGAAUUAUCAGAUGGACCUUGAUCGUCCUAUAUGCAUUAACAUAGAAGAUUUAUAUGGGGUUUUUAGCCGCUUAAUGUCCGCAAAUAUACCUACUGUGUAUACAAACUGAGGUUAUUAUGAAUGGCUCCUCAUUCAAUCAUUACCUGAUGAUGACAAUACGCUUGUCUUUAAGGUUCGCAUGUUAAAUCAGAUUGAGGAACCCUCACACAGAUAUUAUAUGUUGAGGUGUGAAAUUGAGUUGAUAGAGGAGCGCUGUCUUGUUUCAAAGAUGAGGCAAACCUCAGUGGUUAGCAUUCACAUGAACCUUUGAAGUGGGAGACAAGCUAGUUGCCUUGGUAGAGGGCAGAAGUUAUGGUAUGAUAAAAACGUCACGAGCAACAAAGAAUAUUUUAAGAACAUGUAGAAGAUUCUAUGUAUUAGUUUGACUAUGUUAGGUUAUUUCAUUUGUUUGUUGAUUAUAUUUUUUUUGAAUUGGUUUUAUUUUGUUGGUUGAACUAUAUGUUGCUAUGAUUUCAUUAAUGAUAUUCUACAUUAAUUGUUGCUCGACUUUACAUACUCUUUUAUCAUAUCUCAUGAAUUGUUCCGUUGAGUGGGAGUUCUAAUUAAAUUGAAUUUAAUAAAUUCAUAAUUAGAACUGAUAAUUUUGUGCCUUAAAAUCGAAUUAAUGAUGAAUAUAAUAAAGGGAAUUGGAUGAUGAUUGGAAGCCUCGAAGACCUUUUGAUUUCAUUCCCGAUAUUAGUUCGUCAUGUCUUUUGGUUUACGUUUGCGGUAAAAUUAAUUGUUUGUGUGUAAUUAUUAAUUAUGCCUUUAGUGAUUGUAUUUUGAAUUGUCUAUGUGUUGAAUUAUAGUUGAGAUGGCCUCUGCAUCUAAAAAAAUUAUGGCUGAGCUGAACAAGGGUGAGAAACUGAAUGGUGACAAUUACGAUAUUUGGCACCGCAAGAUUCAGUACAUCCUUGAAGAGCAAGAGACUCUACAAACUCUUAACAACACCCUAGCUGAGCCUAAGCAAGGGAAUAAUGCUCAACACAGGAGGGAUAUUGAAGCCUAUCAAGCCUGGAAAAAGAAGAAUAACAAUGCUCGCAUAAACGUUGUUGAGCAGCAUGCAAGAUGAUCUCAUGUGUGAGUAUGAGAAGUAUGAGACAGCUCAAGAGAUGUGGCUUGCUCUGAAUGACAAGUUUGGUGGUACCUCGACCACUAAACUCAGGAGGCUUAUGAUCAAAUUUGACUCUUAUCGGAAGCGCCCGAACUACACAAUGAGGCAACAUCUGAGGGAGAUGUCGAAUAUGGUUCUGGGGCUUAAGUCUGCUGGACAUGUUAUGAUUGCUGAACAACAAGUCCAGGUAGUGAUAAGAUCUCUGCCCAAUACUUGGGAACACAUGAAGGUGAAUAUGACUCAUAAUGAAAAUAUCAAAACUUUUAAAGAUAUUGAGCAUCACCUAGAGUUAGAAGUAGAGCAUCUUGCAACAGCAAAGCUUUCUAAUAGAGUUUUUAUGGCCGAGUCAAGCUCGUGCAAAGCUUCGGGCUUCAAACGCAAAAGGGACCAUAAAAAUAACCAGAAGGGUAAGGGAUCUGAUCCUAAUCAGAAGAAGCCAAAUGCUAAAAAGCGCCCAAGCGGUAAGCGUGCUGGCAAGAAAAGAGACAAAUCCAAUGUGAGAUGCUACAACUGUAGCAAGCUGGGUCACUUUGCUCAUGAGUACACUGAGCUAAAAAAGGUGAGACCCAACUACACUUUGUUAAAUUAUGCUUUAGUAACGAGUUAUGUACUCCUAACCGAAUCUCGUCCUGUGUGGACUGUAGACUCAAGAGCAACAGACCAUAUAGCUUGUGAUCGAAAUGCAUAUGUGGAGUAUCAUCGAAUUAGUCAAGGGAGUAGAUGGAUAUACGUGGGUAACAACUCUAGGGUUGAGGCAAAAGGAAUAGGCACUUGCAAAUUGACUUUGUGCGGUGGACGUAUUCUUUUAUUACACGAUGCACCGGAGAUUCGACGAAACUUGAUAUUUGUCCCUGUUCUUCUUGAAUUAGGAUAUUACUUAACGUUUCAUGGUGUUUGUUUAGAGAUCUUUUCAAAUUCAGUCCUUAUUGGAACUGAGCAUUUAAUUAAUGGUUUUAUUAUUAGAUACAAUACUUGAUGGUUCAAGUUAUGAUAAUAGUUAUUUUUCUUAUGUUACUUUUUCUAGUAAUAAUGAAAUAGAUGCCAUCACUUAGCAUGCUAGACUAGGUCAUAUAGGGCAAGAAAGAAUGUAUAGACUUGCGAGAAAGGCAUGUUGGGCCCACUCACCAAGAUUGAAUUGCCCAUAUGUGAAAAUUGUCUAGUUGGGAAAACAACUAGAAAACCAUUUAGCAAAGGAAUUAGAGCCAAAAAAAACCAUUGCAAUUAAUCCACUCUUACAUUUGUGGUCCAAUGAAUGUAAAGGCUAAACAUUGAGCCUCAUAUUUUAUUACAUUCAUUGAUGAUUAUUCACGUUUCGGUCACGUCUACUUGAUUUCUUAUAAAUCAGAAGCAUUGGAUUGCUUUAGAUUAUAUUUGAACAUGACAGAGAAUCAACUAGACAACAAUGUUAAAGCUCUAAAAACUGAUUGAUAACGUGAAUACCUUUCGGAACAGUUCAAGGAACUCUGCAAUGAGAAAGGGAUAAAUAGACAACUGACUAUUCCUGGAACUUCGCAACAAAAUGGUGUAGCGGAAAGAAGGAAUAUAACUUUAUUGGAAUUGGUUAGGUUAAUGAUGGCGCAAGCAAAUUUUCCAAUAUCCUAUUGGGGAGAUGCUUCAUUAACUGCUACCUAUGUACUUAACCGAGUUCUUUCAAAAUCAGUCAGUUCCACCCCAUAUGAGUUAUGGACAAGUAGAAAACCUGACUUAUCUCAUCUGCGGCCAUGGGGGUCUGCAGUUUAUAUUCACAACUCUACUCAUAAGUUUGGAAAAUUAGAAGCUAGUGGUAAAAAGUGUAUCUUUAUAAGAUACUCAAAACACUCUAAAAGAUAUGUGUUCAUUGGUGAACAAGUAGGUGGAACUGUGUCUGAACUAGAAUAACGAGAUGUCAAUUUUCUAGAAAAUGAAUUUCCCACCAUUGGAGAAGUUGAUAAGGAUUUUCAAUUCUUUGAAUUAGAAGAUCCAAAUGAGAUUAUCAUUUCUAACGAUGGUGUUGGUGUUAGUACGGAUCUUUUAAGGAUUGCCACUCUGAGUGGGAGUAAAACAUCAGACACUUCAAUUCCAGCUGGGGAAUCAACACGAAAGAGUAAUCGUAGGCCAAUUCCUCAUCGUCGCUUUGAGAUUGAGGGAUAAGCUUUUAUGAUUGCUUCACACGAUGGUGAUGAGCUAAAUACUUAUAACGAGGCUCUCACAUCGUCUACUAAGGAUUUAUGGAUGAAAGCAAUGGAGGAAGAGAUGAAGUCUAUAAAAGUUAAUAAGGUCUGGGACUUGGUUGAUCUUCCGCCUAACCGUAAAGCUAUCGGAAACAAAUGGGUUCUCCGGAUAAAACAUAAGGCGAAUGGGACAAUUGAGAGAUAUAAAGUAAGAUUAGUCGCUAAAGGUUAUACCCAAUAGAAGGGUGUAGACUAUAAAGAGACUUUUUCUCCUACAGUAAGGUUUGCUUCUAUACGAUUAAUCUUGGCUAUCAUUGCACAUCUAGACCUUGAGUUACAUUAAAUGGAUGUAAAAACUGCAUUUCUCAAUGGAGAACUAGAGGAAAAAAUUUAUAUGGCACAACCACAAGGUUUUGUUAUUAAAGGCCAAGAGCGCAAAGUAUGCAAGCUAAAAAGGUCUAUUUAUGGCCUUAAACAAUCCUCCAGACAAUGGAACCUUAAAUUUCAUUAAGCCGUAAUUUCUUAUGGCUUUAGGAUGAUUGAGGAAGACCAUUGUGUGUACGUUAAAAGGUCUAAAGACGAUUUUGCGAUAUUAUCUUUGUAUGUGGACAAUAUACUGUUAGCUGUGAACAGUAAAGAGUUUGUCAAAACUGUUAAAGAUUGGCUAUACUCAAAUUUUAGCAUGAAAGAUAUGGGCGAAGCAACUUAUAUCUUAGGAGUCAAAAUUUUUAGGGAUCGUUCAAGGAAAAUUCGGGCACUAUCACAAGAACCUUACGUUAAGAAGAUCCUUGAAAGAUUCAAUAUGGUUGAUUGUAAGCCAAUGGACACCCCAAUAGCUAAAGGACAAUCUCUUAGUCUCGAUAUGUGUCCCAAGACUCCUCAAGAAAAGGAAAGAAUGGCUAGAAUUCCUUAUGCAAAUGCCAUUGGAAGUCUCAUGUAUGCCAUGAUGUGUACAAGACCGGAUAUCAGUUAUGAUGUAGGACUGGUGAGUAGAUACCAGUCGAAUCCUGGACAGAAGCAUUGGAGUGCGAUCACAAGGAUUUUGGCAUAUCUCAAAGGCACUACAGAUUAUUCUUUAUGCUAUCAAGGAGGUGGUUUGUGAAUUGUUAGAUAUUCAGAUGCCGACUGGGGUGGCGAUCUGGAUGAGCGCAAAUCGACCUCAGAAUAUGCAUUCUUGCUAAACAGAGGAGCAAUUACAUAGAGUAGCAAGAAACAAACAUGCACAGCUUUAUCAACGAUGGAAGCUGAAUAUAUUGCAUGUUCUGCGGCAGUGCAAGAAACUGUGUGGCUUAAGAGAUUUGUGGAGGACUUACAGAUUAAUAUUAGCGCUACUAGUCCAGUAACUGUCUAUUGUGAUAGUCAGGUUGCUAUAUUAUUCUCUAAAGACGCCAAAUACCACAGCAAGUCGAAACACAUUGAGACUAAAUACAAUUUUAUAAGAGACAUUUUGGCAAAGAAGGAAGUAGCCAUACAAUACAUAUCUACGCAUAGCAUGAUAGCUGAUCCACUUACAAAAGCUGUAACGAGAGAUGUAUUCGACUCUCAUGCUAGAUCGUUGGGGCUACGUAGAUUUUAAUAUUUCAUUGUAGAGAUAUUUUAUUUAGUAAACAUUUUUAUUACAUGAAUUAUUUUGAAAUGCAUUGAUGUUUUAAGUUCUCUUAUUUCAAAUUAGUUUGAGAAAGGCAUAAUUACACACAUAUGAGAGUAUGUCAUCAAGUCAAUGACCGGCUUUCUUACACGAGCGGUCACCUCAGUUGCUCUGGGAACAAGCUGAGAUGAGACAAGUAGAAGAAUGAGAUAAUGUGUUUUCUCUAAGAGCCAAAGAAUAAAGAAAUAUUCUAUAAAUUUUGUCGCCUUGACUGGAGUCAACAUGAGGUCGUAUACGAUAUUUUCUUGUUGAUCGACUAUGAUGUACCCCACUAUCAUAGAGACCUGAUUAAAGCCAGAUGUGAAAUCUUGUUUUGACGCUAAACGAAAGCGUUCACUUUAAGAACUCAGGUCAGGCGCUGUAGAAGAGCGACUGGACUAAGAUCAGUACAGUGAAUUAGAUUAAUAAGACAUAUGCCCUGCAAUGAAAGAUUCACUGUAACGCGUGUAUCAUACCACGCGUGCUUGGUGACCAAAAAUUAGAAAAUGAGAGGAUCUUCCUUCCUCCUCAUUGUGUAAGUUCCAUAUGACUUUUUAUAAGUCAAUUGUGGUAUCCUUGUAACUAUCAACUAUGUUUCUGAGAUUUCAGAUUGGUGUCUGCUACUUUAGCAUGUUAUCUACGACCUUGACAUGAUUCGGUCUAUGAAACAUGACUAAAAAAGUGACUAUUCUGGAUUGAUAGACAUAAGUGUGAUGGGGAUAUUUAAUUUUUUCUUUUAUGUAAUUCACUCGUCGACCAAUUGUUUAAUAUCUUUGUGAUAUUACAAUUGUGAAUACAUAAAGAGAUUGCGCAAUUUUGGCAUACUAAGAGGAUUUAGUACAUAUGCUUGAGUAUUAAAGUAAAUUAAAUAUGGGAUACAAUGAACAUAUGUUAAGUUCUCUUACAUAUGAUUGCAAUUGAGACAUCUCUUGCCUGGGUUAGCAAUUGAGAUAUGUCUUUGGCUCCCCGAAUGGGUUUUUGGAUAUGUUCAUGGUCACACGGUAUAUUUGCCUGUAUGAUUGGAGAUAUGUGGUUGUUCAUUGUUUCUUUAUUCACUGCUAUGCUGUUUCGAUGUCGUCCCAUCAUGUUCGAGUGGGAGAUGUUGGACGGGUGGGCGCCCAAGAUCGGUUGACCCGACUGGACCCGCACAUGGUUGUUGGUUACCAUGCACGUUUGGGAGAGGGAAGUUGAACACAAAUCAACUUCCCAACCGCUCCCAACCAUUGUAUAUAUUAAAAAAAAUGCUGCUGGAAAAGAAAGCAAGUUAACGAUUCAUUUUGAAAAAGAAAAACUAGCAGUGUGUGUGUGUGUGUGGGUGAACGAAAAAAGGAUUAAAAACAAGAUCAUUGAACAAUCUGGAAAAGGCAAAUACACUGUGAUUUGAAGAAGAUUUUCGUUCGUGAUUUCUUUUCAACCAGUGACGUGAUACAACACUUGUUUAUUCCACUACAUAAUUCGAGAAAGGUAAGGCCUAUUGACUCAUUUAUGAAUUUCUUUCACAAGGUCUAGAAGUUUCAGGACAAGGCUUAAGAUGCAUGGGCAUGUUCGCCUUUUACGGGCCCCCGAAGCCUGAAUCCUGUAUGAUAGCCUUGAUCCACCAUGCCAUUGACAGUGGCAUCACUGUACUUGACACUUCCAAUGUUUACGGACCUCACACAAAUGAAAUCCUUCUGGCAAGGUAAUGUAAUUUAACUUCUAUUCCUUCCUUUAAUUUCAAAAGGGCAUUUUGGAAUUGGCAAAUAAUAAUAUAUUAGCUUUGAUUAAUUUGGUUUUGGGAUUAGGCUUUGAAAGAAGGGUACAGAUGAAGAGUUAAAUUGACUACUAAAUUUGGUAUCAGAUAUGAGGAUGGCAAGUACUCAUAUUGUGGGGAUCCUGCUUAUUUGAGAGCUGCAUGUGAGGCCAGCUUGAAGUGUCUAGAUGUUGACUGUAUUGAUCUUUAUUACCAACAUCGCAUUGACACUAAAAUUCCCAUAGAAGUCACGGUUUGUCACUUUUAAUUUAUAUUUCUCUCAGUCAUGCAUGUUAAACUAUAUUAGUCUGUUAGCCUCUGGGUAACUCGGCUGCCAAUGAAUAUGAAACACAAAAUAUUUAAAAAUAUAGGCAUGGGUCACUUUGGUGGAUGAGGUUUCUGUUAUCAUGUACUAAUUCUUUUACUUGUGUUGUUUUUGUAAGAUUGGGGAACUCAAAAGACUAGUUGAAGAGGGUAAAAUAAAGCAUAUAGAUUUAUCGGAGGCUUCUGCUUCAACAAUUAGACGAGCUCACACCAUCCAUCCAAUAACAGUUGUGCGCUUGGAAUGGUCCUUGCGGUCGCGAGAUGUGGAGGAAGAGAUUGUUCCUACUUGCAGGUAAGGCAUUAUUUGGACCAAAUGAAUUAUUUUGACCUAGUUGAAAGGAAAAGAAACUAUGAGUAGAUGAUUUAACAUUUUCAUGCUAACACAAUUUUGGUGGUUGCUCUGCUCAGGGAACUUGGCAUUGGAAUUGUUGCUUACAGUCUUCUAGGACGUGGGUUUCUUUCAUCCGGACCAAAGUUGAUACACCUCUCUGCAACCAAAGGAUGCAUCAGUUAAGUUUACAGUCUUCGAGCGAGUGCUGGCUCCAAAAAAAAAAUUGAAGAGAAAGAGCAAGAUUGAAAUGAGAAGUUGAGAAUAGAAGAAGACUCGAGAAAGAUAAGAAACAAUUCAUUUAAGAUAUCCUUACAAAAUUGGUUGCGCUCUACAUAUACUGCUCUGUCUAUAGAAGUUUCAAUACAGCUCAGCAAACGAUUUGUAAUAGCAAAUAUAGAGCUCUAAAUAAUUGGAGUAACAAUAAAUCAAUUCCACAACACUUUUAGUAUUGGCAUUUUAUUCUAUGAUAAUAAUAGGUGUUGAUAGGCGUUUUCUUCAUUUUAAUUCAAGUUAUUCAUAAAUUAUUGGCUGCUGCUUUUAUAGUAUUUGUCCUGGAACUUUGAAAAAGGAUAAGAUUUUGCAUGUAUUAUGUCAUUUUGUUUUUUUCUAAUAUUUUAUUACAUUUUUACUUUUGUAUCAGGAGAUGUUUUUGGUUUAUAAAAUGGAAAAGUCUUGGAUAACAUGUCAUAGAUUGUCUGCAGAAUAUAUUGUUGGUGUGGAUAUGUUCAUGGAUUUUGCAAUUGAAAAUUUUGAUAAUGGUGAUUUUAUAAGGUGUCCUUGCAUCAAAUAUAAAAACCUAGUAUUCUAUCCUUCUAGGACAAUUAGAGACCAUUUAUUUUUUAAGGGUUUUGAUGAGAGUUAUACUAUUUGGACUUGGCAUGGGGAAACCAAACCCAACAUGACAAAAAUUGAUAUAAGUGAUCAAGUUGACCCACAAAACAUUUACCUUAAUCAAGGUGAGGCUGUAAACAUGAUUAAUGAUUCUUACAAGCAUUUUGAUGAUGAUCCUAAGGCCUUUAAAUCCUUAUUAGAAGAUGCCGAGAAAUUUUUGUACCCGAGUUCGCAAAAAUAUACUAGGUUAGGUGCAUUAGUUAAGCUAUGCAACUUGAAGGGAAAAUAUGGUUGGUCCAAUACCAUCUUUUCAGAUUUAUUGAGUCUCCUUGUUGACAUGUUACCAGAGGACAAUACAUUGCCUAGGUGUACAUAUGAGGCAAAAAAAACUAUGUCUGCCUUGAUCUUGCAGUAUGAAAAAAAAUAGAUGCUUGCCCAAAUGAUUGCGUACUGUAUAUAAAUGAAUAUGAGAACCUUUUUGAAUGUCCUACUUGUAGAGUUUUAUGGUGGCAGAAAAAAGAUGGUUCUAAGGAAAAAUAUAUGAAAGGGGUUCCCACAAAAGGUUUAUGGUAUUUCCCACUAAUCCCUAGAUUUAAGCGGCUGUUCCAAUCACCACAAACUGCCAAUGACUUAACUUGGCAUGCAAAAGAAGAGAAGUUGAUGGGAAGCUUCAUCAUCCAGCUGACUCAUCAGCUUGGAAGUUAAUGAAUGAUAAAUGGCCUUCCUUUGCAUUUGAAUCUAGAAAUCUCCAUCUUGCCCUUUUUGCUAACGAAAUUUAUCUACAUAGCUUCCUAAGCAGUACAUACAAUUACUGGCCAGUUGUCCUUAUAACUUAUAAUCUUCCUCCGUGGUUGUGUAUGAAAAGGAAAUUCAUGAUGUUGUCAUUAUUGCUUUCCGACAACCAGGGAAUGACAUUGAUAUGUUUCUAGCACCAUUAAUUGAGGAAUUACAGUCUUUAUAGGCUAUUUGUGUUGAGGCAUAUGAUGCAUAUAGAAAAGAAUUCAUCAACUUGCAAGCUAUCUUACUAUGGACGAUCAAUGACUUUCCAGCUUAUGAAAAUUUGUCUGGGUGUAUGACAAAAAAGUAUUAUACUUUUCCAACUUGUGGGGAAGCCAUAAUUCCCUACAGAUUGUCACAUAGUAAGAAAAAUGCUUAUAUGGGCCAUAAGUGUUUUCUUCCUAAGAACCAUGAAUUUCGAUUUCAAAAAAAGGCCUUCAACAAUGAGGUGGAAGAACGAGACCCACAUAAACUAUUGACAGGCCAUGAUGUAGGGGAACAAGUUAAAUGUAUCAAUAACAAAUGGGGGAAAAGAACAAGCAAGAAGAGGAAAAGUGUUGAUGAUAGUAAUACGAGCAACUGUUGGAAGAAGAAGUCAAUAUUUUUUGAUUUAGUACUGGAUAUACUUGCUUGUUCGACAUCAAUUAGAUGUUAUGCAUAAUGAAAAAAAUGUGUGUGAAAGCAUCUACGGCACAUCGUUGAAUAUUCUGGGAAAAACAAAAGAUAGCCUUAAAUCAAGAAUGGAUCUUGGACCAUUGAAAAUUAGAGAUAAAUUGGCACCUGAUUUCUCAAACAAGAACCAUAUUAAACUUCCUCCAGCUUCUUAUAUCUUAAUUAGAGAGGAGAAGAAAAUGUUUUGUGAAUGUUUGAGAAGCAUUAAGGUUCUUGAUGGCUAUUCUUCUAAUAUGAAAAACCCGUUAUCUUUAAAGGAAUGCAAGCUGUAGGGUCUCAAAUCACAUAAUUGUCAUGUGUUUAUGCAACAACUUCUUGUUGUUGCAUUUUGGACAAUAUUACCUGACCAUGUACGUGUUGCAAUCAUUAGAUUAUGUUUUUUCUUUAAUUCCAUAUGUGCUAUGGUGAUUGAUGUUAGUGAACUGGAUGAAAUGAAAAAAGACAUAGUGGUGACAUUAUGUUUGUUGGAAAAAUGCUUUUCACCUUUUUUUUUUUUGACAUAAUGGUUCACUUAACUGUCCAUCUUGUCCAUGAGGUCAGACUUUGUGGUCCUAUUUAUCUAAGAUGGAUGUAUCCGUUCAAGAGGAACAUAAAAACACUCAACAGAUAUGUUUGUAACCGUUAUGGACCUGAAGGGUGUAUUAUAGAAUGUUAUAUUGCAGAAGAAGUUCUUGAAUUUUGUGCUGAGUACUUAUCCAACAUGCAAACCAUUGGGAAUCCACCUGGGCCCAUGGGAAACUCAUCAAUUCAAAUGCCUAUAGGUGGUGGGAAAUCUGCUCUUGUUAAAUAUAAGUUGUUAUCUCAAGCUUAUUUGUACAUGUUGCAAAAUACUAAUUCAGUUAAGCCCUUCAUUAGGUAUUUGUAACUAAAAUUCAUGAUUUUACUGGACAUUCAUUUGUUUUUAGCUCCAAAAUGUCAUUGUUUUACUUCUUUUUAGUGACCAUAUGGAGCACUUACAAGGUCAGUUUCUGCGCAAAACAAAAGACCAAAAAUGGUUGAAAGAGCAACAUAAUCGCUCUUUUACGGAUUGGUUAUCUCAAAAGGUCUAUAUUUUGGCUAAUCCUUGCACUUAUCAGAAUUUUUUUCGUCAAAUUAUUCAUUUAUUAAACUCAUAACGUUUAUUAUAACAUGUUAGGUCUCCAAUAUAAUGGACGAUAAUGAAAAUGUAUCAAAUACAUUACGAUGGUUAGCUCGAGGACUUCGCCCACAUGUGCAAAAGUAUAGUGGUUAUUGUUAACAUAAAUAUUUUUUUAGUAUUGAUUUUGAUAAUAACAAACUUGAUUAUGAUUGUUUUAAAAGCUCAAAUUAUUUUUUAUAUAUUUUCAAAUUAUAAAGGUUUUAUAUUCAAUGAAAAGUGAUUUUAUGAUAUUAGUUGUUUUCAUGUUAAUGAAUUGAAAAAGUUUUGAGAUCUUUGAAAUUAGUAAAUAUUGCUUAAAAUUCUGAAAAUGGACUUAUUUGACAAUUUUUAUAAAGUUUUAGGUCUAAACUAUAAUUUUACAAAAAUAGUUCACUGUAGUAAACGGCUAACCGACAUCUUGAUAGCGGCUAGCCGACAUCGAACAGAAUUGAAGAUUGGCCUCUAGACACUAACGGCGAUCCGACAUUGAGCAGAAAGUCAACAACGUCUAUAUUUUACCUCCAACUAUAAAUAAGCUUAAUCAAAUUCAAACAAUAACGAUUCCAACAAUUAUCAUUGAGCAAAUUAUUGAGCAUACAACUUUCAUUGAGCUUUAAAUUCUUGUAUUCAUCUCAUUUGCUCACACUUUAGAUUUUCAUUUGUAAUCAAACACAUUGUGUGAGAGAGAUUUAUUUUGUAAUAUUCUUGAAAAUCAAAUUGAGAGAUUGUAAGUAUUGGGAUACACUUGGGUUAAGAGAUUGAGAAUAAUCUCUUAUUGUAAAGGUUUAUUGACACCUUGGAAGUCAAUUGUAAGAGUGGUUAAAGCCUUGGAGGCUUGCUUAGUGGAAUCCUCAAGCUCGGUGAGCUUGGAGGCGUGGACGUAGGCAUGGUUAGCCGAACCACGUAAAAAUCACGUGUUUGAUUUCUCUUCCCUUACUCUUUUAUUAUCUUGCUUGAUCAAAUUUAUUGUUUUUGUUCUUAUUAAGGCAAUAGAUUUAAAUUGUUGUGUGGUUUGUUUUGCAUAAGUUUUGAUAACCCAAUUCACCCUCUUGGGUUGCUUAGAUAGUAUUUCAUUUGGUAUCAAAGCAAGGUUCUCUUGUUAGGACUUAACCGUCUAGAGUAAAAGAUUCAUAGCAACCCAAAAUGACUAUACUUUUAGGGAAGGACAAUUCACAACUAGGCCACUAUUUUUUUUAUGAUAAUGACUACCUAUAUUUGAAAAUAUAAUGAGAAUUUACUUGCAAGCCUUAGAUUACGAAAUUUGGAAAGUUGUUUAUGAUGGUCCAUUCAUGCCUAUAACUAAAAAUGAAGUAUGAGAUGAUAUUCCAAAACCUUCAAGUCAAUAGAGUGAAUUAGAAAAGAAAAAGAUGUCUUUAAACUCCAAAGCAAUGAAUGCCUUAUUUUGUGCUCUUGAUAAGAAAAAAUUCCAUAGAGUAUCUAGUUGUGAGAGUGCACAAAAAAUAUGAAAUAAACUUGAGGUUGUUUAUGAAUGGACAAAUCAAGUUAAAAAGUCUAAAAUUAGUAUAUACACUCGUCAAUACGAAUUGUUCCAAAUGGAACAAAAUGAAAGUGUGUAUUCUAUGUAUACACGAUUUAUGGACAUAGUAAAUACCCUAAGAGCCCUAGGAAAGACUUUUUUGAACAGCGAGAAAGUUAAGAAAAUCAUUAAGUCACUUCCAAAAGAAUGGAGACCUAAGAGGACUGCAAUUGAGGAAGCCAAAGAUUUAAAUACCUUACCUAUUGAUGAUUUAAUUGGCCCUCUUAUCUCUUAUGAAGAAGACUUGGCAGCGGAAAAAGGCAAUGAGGAGAAGAAGAAAAGCAUUGCUUUCAAAGCCUCAAAAUAUAAGAGUGAUGGGUAAAGUGAGUCGGAUGAUGAGGAGAUGGCUAUACUGACUAGGAGAUUUAGAAAAUUCUACAAAAAAAUUAGUGAGCAGAGAAAGUUCAGAAAUUUCAAGAACCAAAAGAAGAAGAAAGAGCCAAUUACUUGCUAUAAAUGCAAAAAGCCUGGACAUAUCCGGUCUGAAUGUCCUCUUCUCAACAACCUAAAAAAGAAAACAAUAGUAGCCACAUGGGAUGAUAGCGAUAAUGAAACUGGUGAUGAUAAUGAACAUAAAAAAAUGACAAAUCUAACUCUCAUGGCGAUUGGGGAAGAAUCAUUGGAUGAACUUGAUGAGGUAAGUGAUUUUCGUACACAUGAUGAAUUACAUGAUGCUUUUAAAGAAUUGCAUGAUGAGUGGAUGAAAAUUGGUAAAAAGAAUAUAUGCCUUAAAAAGAAAAUGUUAGAACUUACAAAUGAAAAUGAUGCCCUAGAAAAAUGCACUAAUGAGAAGAUAAAAAGAAUGAGAAUGAGAGAAUAAAAUGUUGCAUGAAAAGAUUGCAUCUUUAAAGGUAAACAAAAUACUUCAUAUGAGUAUGAAAAAUCACAUGUAGAUGAAUUGAUGAAAGAGAAUGAAGUGCUUAAGAAGAAGAAUAAUGAACUAAAUGAAAUUGUACUAAAAUUUACAAAUGGGGAAAAGAUGUUGGAUAACAUGCUCAAUUCACAAAAAUGUGUGUUUGACAAAGGAGGUAUUGGUUAUAAGGCAAAUUAUUAUAAGAAUUACUUUGUGAAGAGUACCCCUAUUAAUAAUCAAGUUGUAUGUCAUUAUUGUAAUCAAGAUGAGCACAUGAAAAAUAGAUGUCCAAUGAAAAGAAAUGCAUAUUAUGGUAUGAAAUGUAUUUGGGGAAAAGUGUAUCUAAGAAAAGGGACAUUUUCAGAAAUAAAAUGAAUAUAACUAAAAAUGGGGUUUUAUGAGGAGAUCAGAGGGGUGCCAAUAGUCCAACUAAGUGGUACUUGGACAGUAGAUGUUCAAGACACAUGAUAGGGAAUUACUUUUGGUUUUCAAGUUUUACCAAGAUUGAAAACGGUGGAAACGUAUCAUUUGGAGAUAACUCAAAAGGAAAAAUCAUUGGUAUCAUAAAUGUUGGUAAUGUAUCCUUUAGUUUUAUUGAAAAUGUAUGUUUGGUUGAAAACUUGAAACACAAUUUUGAUAACAUUAGUCAAUUGUGUGAUAAAGGUUAUAAAGUUAUUUUUUAUAAGAAUAGAUGUGUUAUUGAGCAUGCAUGUGAUGACAAAAUAUUGUUUAUAGGAAAUAGAUGUGUUAAUGUUUAUACCAUUGAUAAAGAUUGUGCAUCUACACAUGAUAAAUGUUUUUCCGCAUUGCAUGAUGAUGGUUGGUUAUAGCAUAGAAUACUAGGACAUCCAAGUAUGGAUUUGAUUUCAAAGAUUUUUAAAAAUUUAGUUAAAGGUCUUCCAAAAUUUGAUUUUCAAAAAGAUAGAAUUUGUUAAGUUUGCCAAUUUGGAAAACAAAUCAAAACCUUUUUUAAAAGCAAAAAUCAUGUUUCUACUUCUAAGCCUCUUCAACUACUUCACAUAAACUUAUUUGGACCUUCAAGGUAUGCUAGCUUAAGUAGGAAGUAUUAUACCUUUGUAAUAAUUGAUGAUUUUUCUAGAUACACAUGAGUAUUAUUUUUAGCUAAUAAAGAUGAUGCUUUUGAUACUUUUAAAGUAUUUUGUAAGAAAGUUCAAAAUGAAAAGGAUAUGGUAUUUCAUGUAUUCGGAGUGACCAUGAAGGAGAGUUUGAAAACCAUGCAUUUAAAAUCUUUUGCAAUAAUUUAGGUAUUGUUCAUCAAUUUUCAUCACCUAGAACUCCACAACAAAUGGAAUUGUUGAGAGAAAGAAUUGGUCGAUUUAAGAAAUGGCUAUGACUAUGUUGAAUGAAAAUUCUUUGCCUAAGUAUUUUUGGGCCGAGGCCGUCAACACUGCUUGUUAUGUUUUAAAUCGUGUGUUGAUUAGACCUCAUCUUAAUAAAACUCCAUAUGAGCUUUGGAAAGAUAGAAAACCUAACAUUGGUUAUUUCAAAGUUUUUGAAUGCAAAUGUUUUAUUUUGAACACAAUAGAUAAUCCUGGCAAAUUUGAUCCAAAAUCCUAUGUUAGCAUUUUUCUUGGGUAUUCAAACUUAAGCAAAGCUUAUAAAGUUUACAACAAAAGAACUCUAAUUGUGGAAGAAUCUAUGCAUGUUACGUUUGAUGAAUCUAACACAUCCUCUUCGAAGAAAGCUGUUAUUGAUAAUGAUGCAGAUGAAGAACUACAAAAAGAGUCAUCAAAGGAUAACCACAAAGAUGCACCACAUGGAAAUCAAGAUGAGCAACAUGAAGAAACAAAUACGGAGCAAAAUGAAGGUACUUCUCAGUCACUCCCUGAGGAGUGAAUGUAUGUUUCUUCUCAUUCUAAGGACUUGAUUUUAGGAGAUCUCUCAAGUGGCAUAAUAACUAGAUCAUCAUUUAGAAAUACUUGUGAGCAUGCUGCAUUCAUAUCUCAAAUUGAACCAAAAUCCUUUGCGGAUGCGGAAAAUGAUGAAUCUUGGAUUGUGGCAAUGCAAGAGGAAUUAAUCAAUUUGAGAGAAACAAUGUGUGGGAAUUAAUUCCUAUACCGGAACAUCAAUCCAUUAUAGACACUAAAUGGGUAUUUAGAAGUAAAAUGGAUGAAUCCAGUGUGGUUGUAAGGAAUAAAGCUAGACUAGUGGCUCAAGGUUACAACUAAGAAGAGGGAAUUGAUUUUGAUGAAACAUUUGUACCUAUAGCUAGACUAAAAUCCAUUAGGAUGCUAUUAGCAUUUGCAUAUCAUAAAGAUUUCAUUUUAUUUCAAAUGGAUGUCAAAAGUGUGUUCUUAAAUGGCUAUAGUAUGGAGGAAAUUUAUGUGAAACAACCCCCUGGUUUUGAAAAUGAAAAAUUUCCAAACCAUGUUUAUAAGUUGUCAAAAGCAUUGUAUGGAUUAAAGUAAGGGCCUAGAGCAUGGAAUGAUAGGCUUAAGAAUUUCUUGUUGGAUAAUGGUUUUUCGAUGGGUAAAGCGGAUACUACUCUCUUUGUUAAGUAUAAGAACCAAGAUAUUCUUAUUGUUCAAAUUUAUGUUGAUGAUAUUAUUUAUGGUUCUAUUAAUGAAUUGUUAUGUAAAGAAUUUUCAUCUUGUAUGAGUAAAGAAUUUAAAAUGAGUAUGAUGGGAGAUUUGAAGUACUUCAUUGGGCUACAAAUAAAAUUUUUAUAAAUCAAGCCAAGUAUGUGAAAGACCUACUCAAGAAAUUUGGCAUUGAUGACUUAAAGACCAAAAACAACUAAUGAGCACAACAACUAAGCUUGACAAAGAUGAAAAAGGUAAAGAAGUUGAUAUCAAAAUGUAUCGAGAUAUGAUCGGAUCUUUACUUUACUUAACCUCAAGUAGACCUGUUAUCAUGUUUAGUGUAUAUUUGUGUGCAAGAUUUUAAUCAUGUCCCAAGAAAUCUCAUUUGCUUGUUGUAAAAAGAAUUUUUCGUUAUUUGAGUGGAACCAUAGAUCUUGGUCUUUGGUAUCCUAGAGAAACUCAUAUAGAGUUAACAUGUUAUUCGAAUACGGAUUUUGCCAGUUACAAAGUUGAUAGGAAAAGUACUAGUGGAACUUGUCAUUUACUAUUGUCGCAGGGAGCUGUUGUGUACAAGCUCUUUGGAUGAAACAAAUACUUAGAGAUUAUGGCAUUAAUCUUGAACAAAAUCCUAUUAAGUGUGAUAACACUAGUGCUAUAAAUCUUUCAAAGAAUCCCAUUCAGCACUCUAGAACCAAGCAUAUAGAAAUUAGACAUCAUUUCUUGAGAGAUCAUGUUUAAAAAGGAGAUAUUGUGUUAUAUUUUAUUUCUACGGAAAAACAACUUGCUGAUAUUUUUACAAAACCUUUUUGCGAAGAUCAAUUUUCAAAAAUUCAGCAUGAACUUAGGAUGAUGAAAUUUUCGCAUUAACAUUUUUAUUCAUGUUAUUGAGUCUAUUGAGUUGAUUGAUUGAUUGAUGAUUUGAUGAUUUAAUGAUUUAAUAUUUAUGAAAUGCUUAAGCAUGAUAUACAAGUGGUAUGUUUGUAUUAUUAAUCUUUGAAUGUAUGUAUGAAUUAAUUGUUUAAAUACAUGUACUUUCAUGAAUCAUGCAUUAAACUGGCCCUUAAAAUGUUUUUGGGUCACUGAAAUGAUCUUGGAGUGUAUUAUUUAUGGCCAAAUACUAAAAUAGAUGUGCGAAAUCAUAAGCUGUAGAAAAUGGAUUGUCGUUAUUGCAAUAAACAGCUAACCGUUUUUAGGAAGAAAGCUUGGCAAACAUUCUGGACACUAUCAGUUAGCCGAUAUCACAAUAAGGGCUCGCCGUUUUCAAGAAAUAGAAAUUUUUUUUGACAAGCUCUCUGGACGCUGUCAGUUCGCUGAUAUCUCUAGCUCACUGUUUGUAAGAAAUUUUAUUUGACAGGCUCUCUGGGCGUUGUCGGUUCGCCGAUAUCUCUAUAAUGGCUCGCUGUUUGUAAGAAAUUUUUUUUGACAAGCUCUUUGGGCACUGUUCGCCGAUAUCUCUAAAAUGGCUUGCCGAUAUUGCACGAUAAGUGCACAGUCACUCAUCUCCUUCUUCAUUUCAUUUUGCCCUUAACUCUCUCUCUCUCUCAUCUCCGCAACUGCACUUGUCUCCCUCUCAAAUCCACCAUUUUUCUUGCUAUUUCUCAUAAAAUCGAACCUUUAAAAUCAAUUAUUACCCUCACAUGAAUCUUGUAAACCGAUUAAAACUAGUUUGUAACUCCAAAAUUGAAAAAUCCCAAUUUCCAAACCCUAGAACCAACCGACUUGUUCUUGCUAAUUUUGACUAGAUUUUCUUUAAUUUUUCAUCAAAUUUCAACUUGCAAUCACUCUCUAUACUCUUCAACUUGCUUUAUACUGAUUUUAUUUCUUCUAAAACCAUCAAUGGCUACCUGACAGAGACAAGCCUGAACCAAGCAAGCAGCUCCACGUAAUCUUAGUUCCUCCAGGCCUCUUUCUCAGGAUUUUGAUAGCCUACAUUUUCCAAAUGGUCACUUGGCUCAACGAUUUCACAAGAACUUCAUGGGAAAAGCAGUAACUUCUUUAUUCUAUAUUGAUAUUGACGACUUCUUUGAUAUUACUAUAUAUGGUAGAACUUUGCCUCAAAUGCUAAGAAAAUGGGGUGAAGCCUUAGACGUUGAAGAAUGAGUCUAUGAAAACCUAGUUAGGGCAUUUUACUCUAAUAUAGAGAUUUCAGUUUACUUGACUCUCUCAUCCAAGGAAGGAAAGUGUACCUUGCAUUCACUAUUAUGCGUCACAUGCUCUCUAUCCCUACUGUGUCUAACAGGUCUCUUCCAUAUAGUAGCAUUAUCAGUAAGAUUUUUUGACACUUUCACAUUCCCUUGACCGAACCUGUCUAUGUUGGGACAAAAAAAAUGGGUAGGGAAAUAAUUUCGGGGAUUGGUUUUCAUUGGAGGCAAGGCAAAUUGAUCAAGGUUAAAUCCUUUAAGAAUGAGGACACUUUGAUAGCUCCGGAUGGUGACCGAAUGCUCAAUAACAUUUAUUCCGAGGAUGAGUUACCUGACUUUCGACUUGGAGCUAGACCUCGUGUCCCUCGACGAGCAACAACAACCCCAUCUCAGGAUGAGUAGCCAGUCAAGCUAGCUGUGCCUCCUGCGGCAUCCUCUGUUUUUGAGGACCACCUUCAGUAGCUCUUCGACAAAGUGGAUGCACUCCCCCAGCAGCAGCAGCUCCAAUCCAUAUUUGAGACCUUUUAGCAGCAGAUUUUAGAUCAACAGAUGGAACUACUUGCUGGACAGCGCCGUAUCCUUGGUCACGUCGUUUAUGAUCCAGGUAGUUCCUCUUCGCAGCCUCCCUUUUAGUUUCUGCACCUAUGCAUUUUGCACAAACAUUACUCAUCUCAUGUAGUUCUUAUGAUAAUAUCUAAUCUUUUUAUUGUGCUUGUGAUGAUUUUAUGAUGAUUUUGUUGGAUAUUUGAACUUUGUUUGUGAUUGUGUUGAUUUUGAUGAUAUGUUUGAGUUUUGCAUAUGGUGAUGUUGAAUUUGUUGGUAUGGAGGUUGGUUGAUAAUUUGAACUUUAUAUGGGAGUGUUUUAACUACUUUUGUCUUUUAGGAUAUGUUCAUUUUUAAGGGGAGAUUCUGCCGAAAUUUUUGCACGACAUGGGUAAUAUCUGAAAUUCUCUCUUUAAUCUUUUCGAGUUCAUUUCUUUUUUAUAAUGAAGGGGGAGAUAUGGAUUAUAUAUAAUUUGAUGAAUAAUUUUUUUUAUUCAAUAUAUUUUUUUGUGGUUAAAAAUUAAUGGCCAUAUACUUAGGGGGAGCAAAAAUUGCACAAAUAUUUUUUUGAAAAGUUUGUCAUCAUAAAAAAGGGGAGAGUUAUUGCAUCAAUGAUUUUCAAUUUCUAACACGGAAAUGUGAUGAGAACUGAGUGACCCAAAAUUGUGGCGUGACUGUUGUUGCAGAAACAAUGCAAAUAGCCACUUUAAAGACAAAAAUCCUAAAAUUGGUGAUAUGGCCUAUUAUGGAGUAAUUGAUAAGAUUUGGCAACUUGACUACCAUAUGUUUAAGAUUACUUUAUUCAAGUGUGAUUGGGUAAAAAAAUAGGGGUGGUGUAAAAGUUGAUGAACUUGGCUUCAUGUUGGUGGACCUCCAUCGAAUAGGCCAUAAGUUCGAUCCUUUUAUUUUGGCUUCACAAGCCAAACAAGUAUUUUAUGCUACUGACCUAGUUGAUAAGAAAUGAUCAGUUGUUUGUUGAUGCCUUUUAGAGGUAUUCCCAAUUUUGGAAAUUAUGUGGAUGUGCACAUUACGAAGGAACAAGUUCCUUUCACCAAAGAAUUACCAAGUAUAACUAGAAUUGAUGUAUGCAAUGACGACAAUCAAGUAGACUAUGUAAGGGAGGAUGGUGAGGCCAUUGAGAUUGAACAGUGACAAGAUCAACAUUUUAGAGUAUUAGUAGAACAUAAUUACAUGGGGUUAGAGCUAAAAUGUAUUAUAUAUUGAAUUGUAAUUAUUAUUUUACUUGUAAUUAAUCUGUAUUUUACAUUACUUUUUUUUAUAGCAAGCUAAUACUUUAAUUUUUUUUCUGUGCUCUUUUACUAACCAAGCUUAUUUUGGAAAUUUGUCUUGGUUGUUUUCAGGUAUUAAACAAUGGAUUUCAAUGAUGAACCUUUCAGCGAUGAAGAGAAAUAGUGUUACUCCAAUGAAGAUGAUCAAGUGCCAAAAGGAGAUGAUGGCUUUGAUGAUUUUGAUGAUUUACUUUGUUCUCCUACUCAUUUAGAGGGUGAUGGAGAUGCAGAACCUGGAAAUGAAGAGGAUCAAUUUUCAAAAGAUUUAUCAUCACAAAAAGGCUUGACUCUUAAUCCUGAUAAUAAGAAUUUGAGGACUGAAAAUGGGAAAAUUGUUGUGAGAUACAAUAGAUAUGGUGUUCCUGUUGGUCCAGAGGCCACUACACUGUCCACUUUUCUUAGAGUGUUGGCUCGUGUUUCUGUUCCAAUCAUCUUCAAGGAUUGAAGAUUAGUGCCAGAUAAAUAUAAAGACGCAUUGUGGUCAUUUGUUCAGGUAUAAAAUCUAUUUUUUGUUUCCCAUUCGAUACGAUAACCUGGUUUAUCUACGGUUCUUCAUACAAUAAAUGUUGGAAAAAUGUCAUUAUACAGAGACGAUUUAUCAUUCAUGAACGAAGUAAAAAGCAUGUACUGCAAUCUAUUAGAAAGUUGUUCAAGAAUUUUAAGUACACUUUGACUAAUGGGUACAUUUUUCCAAAUAAGAAUGACCGUAAAAAGUUGCGGAAACCUCUUUUGUGAUACUACUACAUAAGACAAGACUAUUGGGACUCGUUCGUCAAAGAUCAUAUUGAUGAUAAGUUUGCAGUGCGUAAAUUGAAUCUUAUUCAAUAUUUUCUCAUGGGAAAUUUUAAUUAAAUGCUAUAUAAUACUAACGGUUGAGUAUAACAUUACAUUAAUAUUGGUUUGUGAUUUAUGGUAGAAAAUAAGGAAGGAGAAACAAAAAAUGCGUGCUAGUAAUAAGUAUAACCAUUGUUUGAGUCGAAAAGGAUAUGCUGGACUGUUGGAAGAAAUUGUAAGUAUAUUUAUAUUCUGGUUGCUUGCAUUUGAAAGUUAUAGUAGGUUCUUAAAUAUAUGUUUGGUUGCAUUCUUUUGCUUGUAUUAUUUGCCUACAUUUUCAUCAGGAAUAGUUUGAGAGGGCUUUUAAUUUACAACAUAACUUUAAUUUUUCAGAGUGCUGAAACUGGUCUUAGUGAGGAUCAAAUAGACAGGAGUGAGCUUGGAUCAGAAGUAGGAGAAAAAAAAUGAAUGAUAUCAUCCUGAUGUUCAAGUUAUCGUUGAUAGCCUUGUAAGUACUGGUUUGUAUAUAUGUUAUAGCAACAAUUAUGUUUUUUAUAUCAAUAUUUGAUAAAAAGUGUCAUUGAAUAAUACCUAGAUGAGGGCUGGAUGGAAUGCAAAAAAAUUAUCUUCAAGUUUAGAUAGAAGAAAUGAUUUGCUUGCAAAACCUUUGGGGAAGGCCCCAAAAAAUGGCCAUAAGCAAGGGACCGGCAAGUUUCUAACCCCAUCUCUUUAUUUUGACACUCCACGUAAUUAUGAUCCGAUGGAAAAGGAUAGAUCGAAGUUCGAAAACUAGUUGGCAAAGCACAAUGCAUAUAUUGAGGAGUUGUGGAAGGAAAUUAGAAGGAAACCUAGGCACUCUGGCAUCGGCAGCUCUAAUACACCAAUGAAGAGUGAUUACAGGCAUGAUGGAGAUCUCAAGAUGAAUGAUAAAGCCACUGCAGUUGAUGAACAGGAGGUACUGCACAAACUAUUUUGUUCUACAUCAUGAUAAACGAUAAUUAGGCCUAAAUUUCUUGUUUUGUAAUCAUAAAAAUGGCGUUAUAGGUUUCAAAACAUAACUUAAAAUCAACAGCAACAUUUCCAAGAAAGAAUAGUGGGGAUCCAAAGAGGAAAAAAGACAACCCCAACAACAAAAACAUAAAACUGCAAUUAAGAUACUAGAAGACUUUGGCAAAUUCCCCGAGACUCCAAAGAAAAGAAAUGGUAGCCCAAAAAAAAAAAAGACCCAAAACAGCAAACAACGAGCUGGGAGAUUUAGGCAAUCUCCUUGAAACUCCAAACAUGAGACAUGGCAACCCCAAAAAGAAAAGUGCACAAACAAUAAUGGAAAAAAAAAGAAGCAAUGGACAAACCUGAUAAAGCACUGGUUCGGAAGACCAAAUUUAAAGAUUGUGGUGAUGCUGGCCAUGUAGUUCGAAAAAGAAAGACAAGGCAAGCACCUGCUCAGCACCAACAGAACACCACAGUGAAUCCAAGAUUUAAAUUCUUUUUAGGCUUAUGUAAAAUGAAGUUGCUUGCCAGUGGAAAUUGCCUUCCUUAUCCACUUGAUAAUGAGGUAUUUGAAAGUGAAUGUUUGGUUUAUAUCGGGAGAGGCGAUUGUUAUGCAUUGGCUACCAUGGAAUGGUUAGGCCUUAAUCACAUGCAUAUCUAUAUGGCGUAAGUAAUAUCUUUUUCCUUUUUUAAUUAUCAAAAUCUAUUAAAAGAUUAUAUAAAUAUUUAAUUCUUGCUUUACGUGUGAAUAUCAGUUAUUUAUAUGACAUGAUUCCAGCUGAUAAAAUGGGCAAGUCAUUUGGCUAUAUGAAUCCUAGUCAUGUUAGCCCCAGCAGAGUUGAAAAUAAACACGCAUAACAAGGACACAAGCAAUUGCUAAUCGUUUGGCCAAAGCUCGCCCCUCUCAAUUCAUAUUCAUUCCUUACAAUCCUGGGUAUAUUCAUUUUUAUUAAUAAGCAGGUUGUUAAUUUUCUUUUCUUCUUACUGAAAAGUUGUUGCUUAAUUAUAGAGCUCAUUGAAUUCUUGUUGUGAUCGAUAUGGCUGCAAAGACUGGAUAUUUCAUGGAUGUGCAGGGAAAUAGUCCAGCGGCAGAUAUUAAAGAGUUGGUAAUAAAGUAGGUAUAUCAUCGUUAAAUCAUUACAGAAUGUUACAUCCAUUAUAAACAUUUCAGUAGUUCUAACAAUAAAUUUCUCCUAGUGGGAUCAACAUAUUCGCAGCAACGAGCGGUAAAAAAAAAGUGCACCCUGAAUUCAAAAUGGUACAGGUAAUACAAUUUACUUUUUCCUAUCAUUUUAAUUAACUACUUGUUAUAACUUUUUAUGUAUUUAGAUUAAGUUUUAUUAUUGUAGGUUCCAAAACUACCUGGUUCUUAUGAGUGUAGAUAUUAUGUCAUGCUGUAUAUGAGGGAUAUUAUUGUCGAUCCUAAUUUAUUGCUCAACAAUGUAAGUGAUAUGUUUUAUGUCCAUCAUUGGUUAAUAUUUUUUGUCCAUCAUAUUUGCUAUUAAAUCAUUUGGCCAUUUGCAGUUUAACAACAAACCAGUUUACACUCAGGCAGAAAUGGAUGAGGUACGGUAUGAAUGGAUGAACUUUGUCCGAGUGCUCAUAUAAGGUGAGGAGUUGUUUAUUAAAUACUUUGGUUAGUGUAGGCCUGUUUUGAGUUCUCAUGUUCAUUUACUUGGCUGCAUUAGCUUGAUUUGAGAGCCAGUUUUGAUAUGUCAAUAUAAUGUAUAGUUGUUUGGGUUGAGCUUGUAAUAUACUGGAUUACAUUGGUUUGGUUUUAAAUCUUCUCAGAUGGAAACCUGCCUUUGGGAUUUUUCAAUGUAAUGUCAGUAUCAAACUACGUUUAGUUUAAUUAAACACAACAUCUAUUUUAACUACCAGAAGUGUGAAUCUAGUGGCAUUUGGUUUAGUUUAUUUCAUGUUUUCUAGCAUCUCACUUGCAUUUGAUGGCAGUAUGAGACUGUGUCGCAUUUGAUGGCAGUUUGGUUUGUUCUUCGUGUUAAUUCAAGAUUGUUCUUGACAUACUGAUGUUAAUUCAAUCAGGGUUUAUUGAGAUGGCAGUUUGGUGCUUCAUUAAGCUGAUUGUUGUUGGUUUAUUGGGAUGGUUUCGUUAAGCAGUGUUGUUGGUUUUUCUUGUGUUGCUGGUGGCUUAUAAAAUCUUAUUCAAGAUUUGUUCAUUUAAGAAACUGUAGUCAUUAUUUUAGGAAACAAGCUAAUAACUGAUGAAGUAUUUAUUUAACUAUAAUUAUUGUAGUUAUUUUAUUUCAUAACAGGAUUAUAAUUUACAAAACUUGUGGAUAUGGAUUUGAGAAUUAUUGUAUAUAUAUCUAUGUAAAAGAUAUAUUUUAACUUCUGCCAAAAAAAAAUGGGGCCAAUUUCAUUAAUUCCCGCCAAAAUAUAAUAUAUAAAAAUUGCCGCUAAUUUCAUUGUUUCGCACCAAAAAAAAUUUAUAAAUUUGGCACCAAUUCCAAAAAUUCUCACAAAAAAAUAAAAUAUAUUGCAUUUAUCGCCAAAAUUUAGGAAUUAAUAUUUAAUUAAAUGUAUAAAUAAUUUAAUUAUUUUAAUUAAAUUCGUUAUGUUUACGUGACAGACAAUAGUCAUGAAUGGGAAAUGUUAUUAACAGACAUUAGUCAUGCGCGGAAAUUUUUCAUCAAAUCAACAAUGACAGAAUCGUGAUGGAUAAUACAUCAUGCUUACCAUGACAUAUAAACACUGUCAUGAUUUUUUCUUGAUACCGGAAUCAAUGACAGUCGCUCAACCGUCAUGCGAUGCAGAAGAUGACGAGUAAUACUCAUCACAAAGGGCUUUUUUUCUAGUAGUGAUGUUUGGUGUUUACAAAUCAUGUAUUUUUACUUUCAUCAUAUUUGCAUUACUUGUCUUCUUUAUUACACGUUCAUUCUCAUUUCCAGCAAUACAAUAAUAAUUUUUGUUUAGUUUUACUCUAUAGUUAUGAAAUUCUUCGUAGAUUUCAAUUUUGUCCCUCAUAUUAUGUUCAUUAACCUCUUCAAAUAUGAGCAAAUUCUUUCUUUGCAUUGAAAAUCUAAGGAACUAUCUAUGCAAUGACUUCAUUAAUUGACAGGAAAAUUUAACAUGUCAGAUUUAAUUUAUAUACAUUAUAAUACCCCUUAAGUCGUAUAGAGGUGAAAAAAAAUGGGGGGAAAAAUUGUUCCAUUACCUCAAAACUAUUACUGGAUGCUCAAGAAGUUUAGCUUUACUGACUCUUCCAAACGUUCUACAUCCUUGUGGCUACUUCCAUUUUUGUUAUAUUGUUUUGCUGUGAACGUCAAUGUGAAAUCAAUUGAUAAGUCCUAGGAGAGUUUACUUCUUGUGAGAUCUUUGUCUAAUGUGCCAAAAUGUUUUACUAUAAACAUCCUCUACCUAGGAGAAGUCCCCUGACUAGUCCUUUUUCUUCAUUUUCUGGUCUAUUGAAUUUUACUUAAACCUCCUCUAAAAUCAUGGUUUAUCCAAAAUGAUGUUUUUUUUUAAAUGAUUCAAUUGCAGUUCAGUUUUGGUACUGAGCUGUUUUCUAAAUCUUGCAGCAUCUACCUAGGUUCCAACAUGAAAAUUUAGAGCAUAACAAAAAGCUAUUUAAACGUGUUAAUGAAAUACCAGUAAAGAAAAGAUGCACCCCAUCUCACCUUGCAUUAGCAUGGGUUCAUUACCAAGGAAAUGACGUGUCUCCGAUUCCUGGAACCACCAAGAUUGAAAACCUCAAUCAAAAUAUUAAAGCUCUGUCACUGAAACUUACUCCAGAAGAAAUUGCUGAGCUUGAAUCCAUUGCUUCAGCUGAUGCUGUAAGGAGUCAUCGGUAUGGGGGUGUCACCCCUACCUACGAGGAUUCUGAUACUCCACCUUUGUCUUCGUGGAAACUUUCAUAAAGGGUUUUGGUAUUCUGCCUUCUUAGUACCGAUUUUGCAAUUGCAUGUAGUUCCUAGGUUUUGUUGUGGGUAAAAUCAUUGUGUUGUGAGUAAAAAUAAAGUCAUCAUGUCUUCUGAUACGAGACCCUAUCAGCACCUUUCUACACUUUCUACAAGCAUUUAGUGAAUAUUGUAUUGAGUUUCUAUGCAAUGUUGUAAGUAAAACUAAAUCAUUGUAUCUAAUGGCUCCAUCUCAUUUGGGGUCCAAAAGCCUAAACUUUAACAGGUUUGGACAAUUAAGUAAUUAAAAGAGACUUAAAGGGGAGAAAUGAAAUUUGCCAUGAAAUUUGCCUAUAAAGCAAGUGAAAGCCGUUGCCUUGGAUAAUUUAGAGCGUGAACAAGUGGUGAGAGAGAGAGAGGGAGAGAGAAAAGACAGUAGAUGCUUUCAUUUGAUAAUAGUGAUUUUAAUCUUUAAUUAGAUGAUUGGAAGGCAAAAUUAACUCCGAUUUCUCUCAAAUUUUGAGUGUAAGAUCUUGGCAUCGCCCUCUAGAAUCCUACUGGUCUUGAUUUUGAUUUUAUUCUCUCUUUGGCUAUUAUUUGAAAUACCUACUUGUUGGAGAGACAAUUAUUAAGUUAUUACUGUAAGUUAAGAUUAUUGAGAUUCUUGAUGUUGACAGCCUCUAGUAUUAUCUAGAGAAGAAUUUGUGCUAUAAUCCAUUAAUAUAGUGGAAGAUUAUAUCAGACUAUGGUCUAGUGGUUUUCCCGCUUUAGAUUUUUCAUGUAAAAAUCUGUAUCUCUUGUGGUUGAAUUUUGCUUUGGAUUUAUUGAUUUAUUUUUCUGCCUAUUUAUUUAUGGUGCACGUCCUAUUUUAAUCACACAAAGAGGGAAAGAGUUUUGUUUCUACUUAAUUUGUAGCUGCUUAUGGCAAUCCAUUUCCCAACUGAGUGGUAUCAGAGCGUCAAGUUUUGUAUUUUUAAUUGUUUGUGUGGUUGAAUGGAGAAGUCCUUGGCAUGCAUGAUUAAACUAAAAUCAUGGAAUUAUGGUAUUUGAAAGUCUAGAAUAGAGGAUUUGUUAUACAUGAAAGACUUAUAUGAACCCAUUAAAAGCGAAGAAGUUAGACCCGCCGAUUUAGAUGAUAAGAAAUGGGUUCAAUAAAACCAGAAGGUUGUGGGUACUAUUAAGCCACUGAUUGAUCAAAGUGUGUACCACCAUAUAGCAAAAGAAUCUAAGGUUGAUUUUUUUUUGGAGAAAAUUAUAGAUAAUUUAUGAGCAGCCGACAAUACAUAAUAAAGUCAAUUUGAUAAAAAGGCUUGUUAACUUGAAAUACAAAGAGGGGGGCAGUAUAACUGAACACACUAGUGAGUUUCAGUGCUUAGUUGAUUAGUUAACUGCUAUAAAAAGUAUUUUAGAUGAUGAGUUACAAGUAUUGUUGUUGCUUAGUUCUUUGCCUAACCAGAGACAUUAGUGGUGUCAGUGAAUAAUUCAGCGCCGAAUGAGAAAUUAACUUUGUAUAUGGUUACAAAAUGAAGAAUCUAGAAGAAAGAAUGUUGAAGCAGUUUCUUCUGAGUCAGAAGCACUUGUUUCAGAAAAGUAAGAAAAAAGGGGAAGAAGCCAAAGUAUAAAUUUCUGCCAGCAAAACAAUGAUCAUCUAAGUCCUAGAGGAGAAACCUCAAGUGCUUUCAUUGUCAGAAAAUGGGUCACGUUAAAAGGGAGUGUAGGAUGUGGAAAAGAGAACAGAUGAAAGAAAAGGGUGAUGCUCAGAAAAAUGACAAAUAGAACAGUGCAGCCAUACUUGAUGGUGAUUUGGGUAUUGUUUACAUGAGAGUUCAAUAAAUCUCGCUUACCAUACCAGUGAUUGGGUGAUUGAUCCAAGAGCUUCAUUUCAUAUUAUUGCACGUCGUGAUAGCUUCACAUCCGAUGUUAAUAGUGAUUAUGGUCAUAUUCAGAUGGGAAAUAAGGAGGCAUAGGUGAUAUUUGCUUGGAAACCAACAUCGAUUGUAAAUUGUUGCUUAAAUAUGUCAGACAUGUGCCAGAUAUUAGGCAAGCUUGGUGAUGAUGGCUAUACUAACCCAUUUGGUGAAAGGAAAAUAGAAGCUUAUCAAAGGCUCCCUAGUGUUAGCUAAGGGGAAGAAAGUAAACACCCUCUAUAUUUUAGAAGCCAAGAUUAAGAAAAAAGAUGUGAAUGUGGCUGUAACAAAAUCUGCCAUUGAGACAUAGCAUAAAAGGCUUGGUCAUAUUGGUGAAAAAAGGUUGGAAACCCUUGUCAGAAAAGGAUUUCUACCCAGCUUCAUAGGUGUGUCUCUCAAGACUUGUAUUCAUUGCUUAGCUAGAAAGACACACAGAGUAGUUUUAAAAAAAUUUUCUCCAUCUAGAUAGUCAUAAAUACUUGAUUUGAUUCACACUGAUGUUUGCAUGAUGUAGAGUAGAUUAAUAGGAGAUACACUUUAUUUUGUGACUUUUAUUGAUAAUUGUUCUAGAAAAGUGUAAGCUUUUACUUUGAAAUUCAGAGACCAGGUGCUUGACAUAUUUAAAUUCUUCCAUGCUUAUGUUGAGAGAGAGAUAAGAAAAAAAAAUUAAAAUGCAUCAGGGCAGAUAAUGGUGGUGAGUACAGAGGACCAUUUGAGCAGUAUUACAGAUCCCAUGGAAUAAGACUUGAGAAAAUUGUACCAAAAACCCCGCAGCAGAAUAGUGUUGCAGAAAGGAUGAACAGAGCAAUUGAAGAAAGGGUCAAGUGUAUGCUCUGUGAUGCUAAGCUUCCUAAAUCUUUCUAGGCAGAGGUUAUGCAUACUAAAGUUGACUUGAUUAACCUUUCUCCUUUAGCUCCAUUAGAUAGCAAUAUACCUGAGAGAGUUUGGACUGGAAAAGAUGUCUCUUAUAAACACUUGAGAGUGUUUGGUUAUAGAGCAUAUGUUCAUAUCCCAAAAGAUAAGAGAUCGAAGCUUGAUGAUAAAGCCAAAGAAUGCAUUUUCUUAGGCUAUGGGCAUGAAGAAUUCGGGUACAUAUUAUGGGAUCUAGUGGCAAGAAAAUUGAUCAGAAGUAGAGAUGUUAUAUUCCUUGAAGAUCAUAUAUUUGGCAAUGCAGAGAAGAGUAAUGAGCCUCAGUCAUCUCCAAAGAUUCCUAUAAUUCCAACUUCAGUUUCUCCAACUGUAGUUCAUAAUGAUCAUGGGGGAGCUGGAGAGACUAAUACUGAUAGUCCAAUAGAACUAGUUGACCAAAGACCUCCAGAAUCACCUGCACCACCAAUUGAGCCAGAAUUAAGAAGAUCUACCAGAGAACGGCGAUCUUCCACUAGAUAUCCUCCACAUAAGUAUAUGAUGCUUAUAGAUGAAGGGGAGCCAGAACAUUUUGAAGAAGCCAUAUCUCAUCAACAUAAAAGCGAGUGGGUUAAAGUCAUGCAAGAGGAGAUGAGAGGCUUGAAUGAAAACCAUACUUAUGGCUUAGUAAAGCUUCCUAAAGGAAAGAGGGCACUAAAGAACAAAUGGUUUAAUAGGUUGAAGAAUGAAAAUAACUCACAAUAGUGAUACAAGGCUAGAUUGGUUGUGAAAUGUUUCGAUCAAAAGAAAUGUGUUGAUUUUAAAGAAAUAUUUUCUCUUAUGGUGAAGAUGUCGUCUAUCCAAGUUGUUCUAGGAUUAACAGCUAGCUUGAACUUAGACACUGAAUAGCUUAAUAUAAAGACAACUUUCUUACACGAUGACUUCAAGGAGGAAAUAUACAUGGAGCAACCUGAAGGGUUCAGUGUCAAAGGCAAAGAAAAACUUGUGUGCAAGUUAAAGAAAGUUUGUAUGGGCUGAAACAAGCACCAAGACAGUGGUACAAGAAGUUUGAUUCUUUUAUGGAGAAUCAUGGUUUCAGCAAGACUAUGUGCGACCAUUGUAUUUUUAUGAAGAAGUUUGGAGAUAAUGAUUUCAUUAUUCUUUUGCUUUAUGUAGAUGACAUGUUGAUUGUUGGCCCGGAUGCUCGUAAGAUUGACAAUCUAAAGAGAGAACUUAGCAAGUCUUUUGCAAUGAAGGACUUGGGACCGGCGAAACAAAUUCUUGGCAUGAAGAUUUCCCGCAAUAGAAAAGUUUGGAAGUUAUGGUUAUCUCAAGAAUCAUAUGUUGAAAGGGUUCUUGAAAGACUUAACAUGAGCAAGGCAAAAUCUGUUUGUUCUCCACUUGCAAGUUAUUUCAAGCAUAGUUCUGAGCAUUGUCCCACAAGUGAGAAAGAGAUGAAAGAAGUUCUUUAUGCUUCAGCAGUUGGUAGUCUUAUGUACGCCAUGGUUUGUACAAGACCAGAUAUUGCUCAUGCAGUUGGAGUAGUUAGUCGAUUUCUCUCCAAUCUGGGCAAAGAGCACUGGACAACAGUGAAGUAGAUUCUCAUAUAUCUCAGAGCCACUUCCAAGGCAUGUUUAUGUUUUGGUGGUGACAAACCUAUAUUGCAAGUGUACACAGAUGCAGAUAUGACAGGAGAUGUUGAUUCGAGAAAAUCUCUAUCAAGAUAUUUGCUCAGCAUUGCAGGGGGAGCUAUCUCAUGACAAUCCAAACUUCAGCAGUGUGUUGCCUUGUCUACCAUAGAAGAAGAGUAUAUUGCAAUCACUAAAGGUUACAAAGAAACCUUGUGGAUGAAGAAUUUUCUAUAAGAGGUGGAUGUGAAACAAAAUAUCUUUGUUGUGUAUUGCAACAGUUAGAGUGCCAUUCACUCGGCAAACAAUUCGACAUACCAUUUGAAAUCUAAGCAUAUUGAUGUGAGGUAUCAUUGGAUACGAGACGUGCUUGAGAAGAAACAGUUGCAAGUUGAGAAGAUACACACAACGGAGAGUGGGUUAUAUAUGAUGACAAAACCAUUGCCUAAGGAGAAGCUGAGAAGCCGUAUGCAAAGAGCGGGAUUGGUGGUGCCCCCCACAUGAUUCGAAGAGGGAGAUUUGUUGGGCCCAUCUCAUUUGGAGGCCAAAAGGCUAAAGUUUAAUAAGUUUAAAAUUAAGUAAUGAAAAGAGACUUAAAAUGAAAUUUGCCUAUAAAGUGAAGUGAAAGACGCUGCCUUAGAUAAUUUUGAGAGUGAAAAAGUGGCGAGAGAGAGAGAGAAAAGAAAAUAGAUGCUUUUAUUUAGGAAUAGUAAUUUUAAUCUUUAAUUAGACGAUCGGAAGGCGAUAUUAACUCUGAUUUCUCAUAAAUGUUUAGCGUAUGUUCUUGGCAUCGCCGCAUCGCCCUCUACAAUCCUACUAGCCUUGAUUUUUAUUUUAUCCUCUCUUUGACUAUUAUUUGAGAUAUUCACUUGUUGGAAAGAUAGUUAUUAGGAUGUUACUGUAAGCCAUAUUGAGAUUCUUGAUGUUGGUAGCCUAUAGUAUUAUCUAGAGAAGAAUUUGUAUUGUAAUCCCAUUAAUAUAAUGGAAGAUUAUAGCGGACUACGGUCCCAUAAUUUUUCUCGCUUUAAGUUUUUCACGUAAAAAUAUAUGUCUCUUGUAGUUGGUUUUUGCUUUGGAUUUAUUAGUUUAUUUUUCUGUCUAUAUUAUUUGUAGUGCACAUCCUAUUUUAAUCACACAAAGAGGGAAAGAAUUUUUUUUUUCGCUUAAUUUGUAGCUGUUUGUAGUGGUCCUUUCCCAACAAUGUCUUCUGCAGUAAGCACAAAAACAAUGUAAUGUGUUUAUGCAAAUAUAUGAGAAACAAUAAAUAAAUCAAAAUGGAGUAAUAUUUAUCUGAAAUUUCUAGAAGUUUAGAUGAUCUUAAUUAGGGGCGAAGCCAAAAAAAAAUUUCCUGGGUAGGCUAAAUUUUUUCCAAAUCCAAAUAUUAUCUCGGCUAAAAAUAUAAAUCUGAAAGAAAUUUUUUUUAAUACAUAAGAAAAUAUAUCAUAUCUAAGAAGCAAUUUAGUCACAAUUAAACACUAUUAAGUUUUGCCUUACCAUACUUUCGAGAAUUAAACCCAUCUAUUAUCAAAUUUAAAUUGAUGGUGCUUACAAUUUCUCUUUUAACAUAGAUAACUAUACAAUCUGAUAAAAAUUCCUUCUCCUUCUUAUUUUAAAGUGGUGUUUAUGCUCGUUUGGUCAUUGCAGCCGAAACAAGGUAUAAAUAUAAAAGAAGUUAAAAGACGUAAUCACAAAUUCACUAAUAAAAGCCAUAGAACCGUCAAUCUAUCAUGAAAUACAGGUUAUGCAACCCAAGAAAUGGGUGAAUUGGGCUUCUAAAAAUUUAAUCAAUUAAGAAUUAAUGCAAUUUAAACAAAGUAACCAAAUUCGAAAUAAACAAUUAAUGUGCAAUGAAAAAUAAAGAGGUAGGGUAAGAGAGACCAAACACGUGAUUUUUACGUGGUUCGGUCAAUCGUGCCUAUGUCCACGCCUUCAAGCUCACCGGGCUUAAGGAUUUCACUAAGUGAUUCUCCAAGACUUCAACAACUCUUUCAAUUGACUUCCAAUGAGUCAAGAGACCUUUACAACAAGAGAUUAUCUUCAAUCUCUUAACCCAAGUGUAUCUCAACACUUACAACCUCUUAACUUGAUUUUACAAAAAUGAUUACAAAUAAAUUUUCCUCACACAAUUUGUUUGAUUACAAAUGAAAAUUCAACAUGUGUGAAUAAAUAAAAUGAAUACACAAAUUUUGUUCUCUAAUUGCAGAGGAUUGCUCAAUGAUAACAAUGGUUGUCUCUCUUCAUUUUAAUUUAAUUGAAGCCAUUUUAUAGUUGGAGUAGAAAAUUAGCUGUUAUUAACUUUUUAGUGAUAACCGGCUUGUCGUUUUAUGUUAAAUUUGUCGCUUGAUGUUACUGCUAUAGUCAAGGAUUUGAAUUUUUGCACAUCUAGUUUGUCACUUUUCAUUUUUCAGUUAGUCAAUUUUACUCCAGAGAGCUUUUGCUUGAUAACCAGUUUGCUGCUUUGAUAAAUCCAGUUAGCCGUUUCCUACAGUGAAACAGCUAUUUUCUAAAAUUAUAAUGUUACCCUAAAACUUUAUAAAAUUAUAUUACGUCCCAAAUCUUUAUAAAACUUUGUAAAUAGAUCAAUUUCCAGAAUUUUAAAAUAAUACUUAUUGAUUUCAAAGUUCUCAAAACUUUCUAAUUUAAACCAUAAACUUGAAAACAACAAAUUUCAUAAAAUAAUUUCUUGUUUCAAAAGCAUAAUAUGUAAUUAUUUGUUUAUCCAAAACAUGUGGUUUGUUAUCAUCAAAAUAACAUUUUAUAUCAAUAAUCAAUUUCAAAUAUAUCUAAUCUAUCAAAAAUUAAUUUAAAAUUUUGAUUGCUAGAAUUUAAUGGCUAAAUUAUCUUCAUUUGACCUAACAAUAAUUUAAUUUUACACAACAAAAUUGGAACAAAAGUUAAAGAACAUAAUCAUUAGUCCUUACUACCUAACAAUUAAUAAGUGUAUUGUAAAUGAUUGAAUAAACAAUAAAUUUAUUAUCUAUUCUUGCCAAGAAGAAGAAAAAGAAUUGAAGAAGCCAAGAAAGAAAUAACGUUCUGGAAUUUUGAAUGAAAUAAAUGCUCUCUUUUUCUUUUUUUUUUUAAAGACUUUUUCUAUUUAUUUAUUUGAAUGACAAAGUUGUAAAUUAAUAGAACAGUACUAUUGUAAAUAAAAUAGUGGCAAUUUUGUAAACUUUGUAUUAUGGCAUUUUUGUAAAUUUCCUAAAAAUUUCCCAGCCCACUUGGAGCCUCGCCAUUGAUGUGAAGAGCAAUGCUAGGUAUCCCAACAUAUAAGUCCCAAUUUGAGUCCCUACUAACGUGGAAUUCAUCUAUUGAAUGUUGAUUAAGUAAUUUUACUAGAUAUGAGAUCCAUCAUCCAAUUGAUGAGUGACACAUAUCAUUAAGAGUCAAGUUGAGACUCAAAUGUUGGGAUCCCAAACAUUAUUGCUUAUCUAAAUUUAUUGUAGCAUUAUAUGUUUCUUGUUGUUACACGACAUCCCUCCUCAACAGAAAAUUAUUCAAUAAUUUCAUAUCAAUCGAAUACUUUUGCUGUGUUACAAAGUGGCCUCUAGCAGGUUACCAAAUUGAUUCACAAUUUUUCAGAUCAUUUUACUGGAUAUUAAACUAUUUCAACCAACUAAUUAUGCUUAGUGAUGAAACUCAGGUCCGUCCCAGAUAUAGCAAUACUCAAAUUUGGCCCAAGCAUUUUUUCCUAACACUCAGGUUGGGCUUAAAAACUCGGCACCAAAUGGAUUUUUUUUUAUGGGCUUAAAAAUUUUAAGAUUUUAUAUUUAAUAAUAGUAUACAUGUAUAUUUGCGAUCACCUCAUAUUGAUAAAAAGUCUGGAGAACAAUUUGAAAUGGAGAUCACAGAAACAGAAAGGCAUGAAUUGUACAAGAAGUUCUCUGGAGUUUCAAACUUUCAACCCAAUUCAUUAUAUUGAGUUUACUUACUUUUAACCUAAUUCAUGAUAAGCAGUCACAAAUUCUAUUCGCGAAUUCAUUAUGCUACCCUAUUGACAUCCAUACAUGUAUUAGUUCAACAAUUUCUUACAUCAUAUAAACCCGGACUUCUUAUUUACAUUAUAAACAUUUUGCAUCUUUUAUUCAAAAACAUCAUGAUUGUAGAUAUUGAACACUAAAAUAAUUCAGAAAAUACUACAAGGUUAAUUUUUAGUAUUAAUGGAUUAGUUUCUGUGGAGUAUAUUAUAUUAUACAAAGAAUAGUCUAUUGACACUGUUGGACUAAAAAUAAAAGAGGCUCAAUCAAGGCCCAAAUAAAUUUAAUCUCAAUAAGACCUAUCUAAUAAAUUUACUCUCAAUUAAACCCACAAAGUGCUGGACAAACCACCUAGGAUAAUCCUUCUAAGUAAUAAGACUUCAAAGUCUAAAGGAUCCCAAAGUCCAAGGCUAAAAGGUUCUAAAGUCCUAGGAUUCUAUCCUAAGACAAACCACCUAGGAUAAUCCUCCUAGAUGAUGAGGCUUCAAAACCCAAAAGGUACCGAUGUCGUAGGCUCAUAUUCUAAGAUAAACUACUUAUAAUAAGUCUCGUAAGUUCUAAGGUUCCCAUCAUCUCAGAGUCUUAGUAAAAACAACUUAAGGUUAAAAUGCUUCUUUCUGUAAUCUAUAGACAAGCUUGCAUAUCCAUGUGUCAAUUAAUAUGGGCACAAACAAACAAGUGUCGCCAGAUGUGAUACGAACAAUGACACUUGUCAUCAAAAUAAAUAGGACUCAAGUCAAAUCGGUUUGGAGCAUAACAAAAAGUUAUUUGAGCAUGUUAAUGAAAUAGCAAUGAGAAAAGGAUGCACCCAGCACAGCUUGCGUUAGCCCGGCUUCACCACCAAGGUGAUGAUGUGCGUCCCAUACCUAGAACCACCAAGUUCGAACAGCUCAAUGAAAAUAUUGAAGCUCUCACAGUGAAAUUAGCUCCAGAAGAAAUGGCUGAACAUGAUUCCAUUGCUUUGGCGGAUGUUGUAAAGGGUGAUCGACAUCCGGAUACAGUAACUACCUACAAAGACUCUGAUACUCCACCUCUGUCUUAAUGGAGACCUUCUUAAAGGAAGUGGAUAGAAUCCAAGCGCUUAAAUAUAAUUAAACCUACUUACAAAAUACCCGAGACAUUAAAUAAAACAAGAUGGCUGUAAUGUUCUAAAAUUUCUACAUGCGUUGAAAUUGUCGACCCGCUUGCUUGUGAUGCAGCUAUCUGGAAUACAACCAGAUAAAUUAAUAGCAAGGAUCCUAAAAAAUAUAUUUAUUUAAAAAUUAUUAAUUAUAAUUAAAUUAUUAAUUUAUGAAUAUAUUUCUUAUUUUAAAAAAUAUGAUCACGUUCAUAAAAUUUCUAUUUUCCAGAGAAACCGAAAAUAGUAAUUAACGAGUUGUAUUGCCCUAACGGAAUGAAUGGGUGUUAAGCACCUCUUACAGCAGAAUUUUAUGUGGCUAUCAAAUUAUUAAAAGUAUCACCAAAACUGAUAAAGAAUAAAAGGUUGAAGCGGCAUCUUUCCCCUACAAACUGUCUCGAUUAAUUAAAAGUUAUUUUAAAUAUUUAAAAUCAAAAUAUUGUCCUAAUCAACUUCUCAUUUUAUGCACCGUUGACAGUACAUAUUCAUGCCAUCACUCAUACUGUGAUUAACAAGGAAAUUCUACAAAGGGCAGGGUAAAGAAACAAGCAAGCGAAGAAACAAGGAAAACAUUAAUGAACAUAAAACAUUACUAUGAAACAUUUGAAGCAUGUGAGCUUUGAUGAAACGUUUAGAUGUUUUCAUAAAUAUAAGUUAAAUUAUGAUAUUUGAUUACAUCCCAAAUAUAAGUUAAAUUAUGAUAUUUGAUCACAUCCCAUUUUCAACGGCAAUCGUAAUAUGCAAGAUACAAUAGAUAUCAUACAGUUUCCAACUGAUCCAUAUCAUCGUAUUAUGUGCUUACUAAUCAUGAAGCAGAGUAACUGCAGCUCAGUGCUUGGUUUUAGGCCUCUUCACUAUCAUCACCGUGCAAUGAGCAUGAUGAGCACAAUAAUCACUUACACUGCCCAAAACCGCCCUGCAAAAGAAUCGAUCUCAGUUAUAAAUCAUCAGAAUCACCAACAGGAAACAAAUGAAACCUACUAACCCUCUCAUUCAACAAAAUUUGUAAAUCCAUAGUACGUAUGACAUUCCCAGCGAAAGAAUACUGAAAUAGAAACCGAUCAAAAUUUUUUUUUUUUUUUUAAAGGUAGAGGAGAAGGCAAAUCCCCAAUUAAAUUUUUAGUAUCAAUUUGCAUUUGGGUGGCCAGUCAAAGAAAAGCGUUUUACUACAUCUCAAUGACAUUUUUUCCACUUUAUUUUCAUCUGGUUAUAGCUACUCCAUAAUAAAGAAUAAAAUAUUGAUUCAUAUAAGCUUUUACAAAUAGUACUAGUUUAUUUACACUUACACAUUUGAGUCCUCAUUGCAACUGAAAAAUAUGAAUAAUAACCAAAACAGUUCACCAUACCAAGUUCCACUCGAGAAAAUAUGAGAUACCAAAGGAAACAACUUAUAGUAGAUUUAUACCUUUUGAUCGCUCCAUAGCCAUGACUACCAACAACCAAUAUGGAGGCAUGAUGCUUCUCUACAGCCUCACAGAGGAUAUUUCGGGCAUCUCCUUCCACCACCUCAACAACAAAGUCAUGCACCUAAACAAAACAGAACUACUGAUUUACAGAAAUGAUACCAGAAGAAAAACAAUUAAGUAUACCCAUUAUAAUCUGGUAUACUGAAACUGGGGAAAGAUAAAAGGAUAAGCAUGAAUACUUACCCAGAUCUACCAAUUUAGAAAGGUUAAUUUUGGAUUACCGAUCAUAAAAUGACAGUCCUCGAAGUACCUCUAAACUAUUCUAAACCUUAAUUUACCUCUGUUUGGGUUUAAAAAAUAAAUAAAAAUCAGGGGGCAUUGAUGAAAAUUUUUUCGUCUUCUUAACAGAAAAGAGGGAAAGUUGAUGUUUAGAGGAGUAUUUUGAAGAUUAUCAUUUCACGAGUGGGACAAUCUAAAGAUAGCUUUUUCCACCAAUGUUGUUAGUGGGAGUGUUCCGAACUAGUCUUGGUAGAUUUUUGAACUGUACUACAAACGUGUGUAUAUAGAAUCCCGGACGAUCCCAAGAUUGUAAUUUAUUUAUAGAUUGUAAUAUCAUUAAAAAGAAAUAACAACCCAAUCAUUACCGAUUUACUGCUACAGAUUUCUUUAGCCUUCUCCACAACCCUAGCAGCAAUCUUCUUCAAAUCUGAGUCCACAUAAGGCAAAACCUCGGCGGCUCCUGCGAUAAAUUAAAAUUAAAAACCAGGUACUUGAUCAUCAAGAAAGCAAGAAAAAACAAACAAACUAAAAUCGAAAAUUAAAAUCGAACAAAGUACGACAAAAUCUAUUACUUAAUUUCUAAGACUUGCAAAGCAAAGACAAAUACCAAAGGACUAAUUGAUAAUUAGUUAAAUUUAUAAUUACUUUACCAGGUCCAGCAAGGCCAACAACAGAAGAAGGGGAAGGUUUGGCAUGAACGAUGACGAGUUUGAAAGGAGGAUUUACAGUCGAAUUUGCGAAGAAAUGAUCGAGCGUCCAUUGAAGCGCGUACGUGCUGUGCUCGCUAUCGUCGAUCCCUACCACCAUCGUUUGUGUCUCAGCCGUC
rnacentral:lncRNA from 1 species